UGGGGGGGUCGUGAGGUAGUGCUUGAGUUGAUUGAACGCCUCUUCGCAUUUUUCGUCCCAGACGAACCUCUUGUUGCCCCUUAGUAGCUCGUAGAAGGGAAGACACUUAUCGGUUGAUCGCGAGAUGAACCUGUUGAGAGCUGCUAUGCGUCCGGUUAGUCGCUGUACUUCGCGGCUGUUCUUUGGGCUUGGAAGAUCGAGGAUCGCCGAGAUCUGCUUGGGGUUAGCCUCGAUUCCUCGUUGAGUGACAAUGUAGCCGAGGAAUUCUCCCGAAGUGACACCGAAGGUACACUUGGCCGGGUUGAGCUUCAUCCCGUAGUCAUUCAAGAUCUUGAAGCAGUCGCGUAAGUUGUUUAGGUGAUCGUCGGCCUUGAGCGAUUUGACUAACAUGUCGUCGAUGUACACUUCCAUGGUGUUGCCUAGCUGAUCGGCGAACAUUCGGUUGACGAGUCGCUGAUAAGUCGCGCCGGCAUUCUUUAGCCCGAAGGGCAUCACCUUGUAGCAGUAGGUCCCUCUGUCGGUGAUGAAUGCCGUCUUCUCGCGAUCGUCGGGAUGCAUCAAGAUCUGGUUGUAUCCCGAGAAAGCGUCCAUGAAGGUUAGGAGUUCGUUACCAGCAGUUGAUUCGACGAGACGAUCGAUAUGAGGGAGUGGGUAACUGUCCUUUGGGCACGCCUUGUUGAGGUCCGUGAAGUCGACGCAUAUGCGCCAUUUGCCGUUUUUCUUUUUGACGACAACCGGGUUAGCCAACCAUUCGGGGUAUCGGACUUCGGUUAUGAAACCCGCGUCGAGGAGCCUGUUGACUUCUUCAUUUACGGCUUUAGAUCGUUCUGGACCGAGUUUUCGUCGCUUCUGUCGGAUGGGUUUGAACGUCGGAUCAACGUGUAGUUCAUGAGAGGUAACUGCGGGGUCGAUUCCCUUCAUGUCGGAAGUCUUCCAGGCGAACGUCGAGGCGUUGUCUUUGAUGAAAGAGAUGAUCCUUGAACAUACGUCGUCGGACAGGUAGACGCCAACUCGGAUGAUUUCGUCGGGUCGGAUUCAUCAAUUGCGACUUUGCGAACUUCCUCCUUCUGAGGGUAUAUCUUGUUGAGUGGUUUACUGACGGAGUUGACAAGGGAAGCUUGUUGCUGCAUCUUUACAGUUGCGAUCAGUAGUUCUCUUGCGGCUUGUUGAUCGCCCCGAAUCGUCUGAGUUUUGCCGUCUUUUCCGGGAAACUUGAUGCAUUGAUGAUAAGUCGAAGGGACGGCUUUCAUGGAAUGCAGCCAUGGUGUUCCGAGUAUGGCAUUAUAGGGUGCUUUGGCGCGGAUGACGGAGAACUUGACGGUGCGGGUUAUACCACCUGCGUAAACUGGAAGGCGAAUUGUCCCGAUCAUUUGCUCCGAGGCUCCGUUGAAGCCGGUGAGCGUGCGAGAGGAAGGCUUCAUAUCCCUUAAAUCAACUCCCAUUUUGUCGAGUGUGUCGCGAAAGAUGAGAUCGACUGAGCUGCCGGUAUCAAUAAGGACUUUUGCGACCAGACAUUCGCCGAUGUCAAGGUCGACGAGGAGAGGAUCGUUAUGUGGCAUGUGGACGCCCUUGGUGUCUAGUGCCGAAAAAGUGAUCUGGUGAUCAUUUUCGACUGGAGAAGGCCACUUCUGAGAGGUGGUUGCUUGACGUUUGUAAUCUUUGACGGCUCGAACCGAGUCACCGCAAGGUGGUGAUCCGCCCAUUAUGACACUAAUGUGCGGGGCUCGGGUAGCUCGCAUUGAUUCGAGUUGCUUCCUCAAAUCGUCAGUUGUGUUCUCGAAUGUAGGAAUUUCUGCGGGCUGUUUCUUUUUUGACUCAAGACGUCGUCGCAGAUCGGACCCUUUCGAACGGUUGAGUUGGAUUCGCAGGUCGUCGGCCUUCGAAUUGAGCUGGUCACGAAGGUCGCCAGUUUGACCGACUCUCCGAGCGUUGCAUUUUGAGAUGGUCGCACGGAGGUCGGUGGUUCCUGUGUUUUCGUUCGUGGCGCUUUUUCGCUUCAAUAGAAUGCGUAGGUCUUUAUCUGCUUUCGAGGGAGCGAGGGACUGCUUAUCCUUGCUGUCCAAUUUAUCGUGCAGAUCUGGUUGCACUGUCGGGACGUCGUCAUCAGAGGAGUCGCAAGGGCGAGAGAGUAUGACUUCCACUCGUCGCCGGCGACGCGGGUGUUCGUCUUCUGACGAAUCGUUGGCGGGGCCGACGUUGUUGAUGGGAGUGCGCUCAGGGCUUGCUCUUUCCUCGCUCGGGGCCGUGUUCUUUUGAGACUUCUGUGCCUUCUUCUCCUUGUUCUUACUCCAGCUUUUAGUGUUUUUCGGUGUCGUAGGAGAAGUGGGCAUUUGGAUUGUCCCAUUAGUGAUCCCGUCGAAAAACUGCCCGAUGAGGACCUUGCAUUCCUUCGUGUCAUGGGAAUCCCUUUUGUGGUAGAGGCACCAUUUUUUUGGCUCCUCGGAGUUUGAACUCGCUGGUUCGGAUGAGGUUGAUUGCUUCGGAGCGGAGUCUCGAUCCCAGUGGUUCCAGCCUUUCUCUCGCGUGAUGGCUGCUGAUUUUGGAGAUUCCUCAUCAUCGACCGAGCUAACGUAGCCUCGCUUCUGAGUGGUAUUUCCACCGGAGGAGUGCUGGCGGGGCUCGGGGCGGGUGUCGUUUGUUCGGGAGGAUCGCUGUCUCGCUGCUGCUUCUUUUGCGAACUUUGCUCUGGUGUCUUCUUCCAUGCGGAUAAAGUUGUGCGAGCGAGCGAUGGCGUCGGAGACAGAUUUUGUCGGAUAUCGGUAGAGAUCCUGGCGGAAUGUGGAGUCGACGUGCAAGGUGUUCAUCAAAGAUUCGACGGCGAUAUGGUCGGGAAUAUCAAUCUUCGAGACAAUAGCUUUGAAUUUCUCCAUGAAGUCGCGGAGACUUUGGUCGCUGGCGUGAGUGAGGUUCCACAAAUCUGACACGGUCGCUUCCUGGUUGGUGAACAUGAUAUAGUUCUUAAGGAAAGCCGUUGAGAGGUCGUGGAAACAGUCGACGGAGUUUUCUCUGAGGCCGGUGAACCAAGUAAGGGCCGGUCCUUCUAGGGUUUCGACGAAGAGUUGGCAAAAGCCGGCGUCUUUGUCUUCGUCGGUCAGGUUUGCGCGUCGCAUCGCUAUGUUGAAAGACGUGACGUGAGUAGAAGGGUCAGAGAGACCUUUGAAGGUUGGAAGACGGAGUUUCUCCAUCUUCUGUAGCCGCACGCCGGUAACCUUUUGCGUGAAGGGUGUACGAAGAGAUUCCGCGAGUACAUGCUCGAUUUGGGGCGCGGACGUCGUCACCUGGUGGAUCUUCGAAUUGAUGUCGAGGACCGACUGUUUCAACGCGGCUAGUUCGCUUGCGGUGUGCGCAUUGGUGUCGUUACCGGCGCUUUGGUUAUCGUUAUCCCGCGUAGGUGCUACGUCGGUGGUUCGUUCUGUGGCGAACAGGUGUCGACGAUACUGCGCCGUUGAAGCUUCGGCGUUUGCAGCGAGAGGAGCAAGGAUCUUUGCUAUCGCCGUGAUUUGGUCAACUGCCGCCUUCUGCGCCGCUUCUUGUAGGGCGAGGCGUGCCAGGAUAGUUUCCAUAGACGCAGGAUGGGGAAGUGGAGUUACUGGUGUAGGCGUAGGUGUCACCUCUGGAGCCGGUGUCACCUCGAGAGCUUCGCGCUCCUCGCUAGACGAAGAACUGUCGUUGCUAACGACCAUAAUUCUGACGUUACUUUGCUAGUUGCCCCACGGUGGGCGCCAACUGUUUGAUCGGAAAACGGUAAUAAAUAAGAUGUGGGUUUAAACAAAGACGUCUUAUUAAUGGUCGGAGAAAAAACGUUCGGUCGGUUACAAGGGAAAAGAAGAGAGUGCGACCGAAAGGAAGCCGGUGGCUCGAUGAGCUACCGGAAAAGUACAACUAACGGCGAGAUGAAGCAAAGGUGAAAACCCUAAUCUAGCCGCCAAGUGUUAGUCAGUGAUUUCGGAUCCUUUUCUCGUUGUCUCUCCUUUCCCUUAUAUAGACGUCCUAAUAUUUCGUCCUUGACCUAAUUUACGCCAUCUUGGUGGGCCUCCUCUACUGGGCCGAGAAGCCCGUAGGCGUCCGAGCAGCCGCUGAGCCGAACGUACUUCAGUCGAUGAUGAUCAACUAAAAGUACUCAAGAGUCAAGCCGAGAGACCUGGCUCUCGAGCCGACCGAUCGAGCCGUCGCUCUUCCUAAUCCGGGCCAGGCCUUCCUAUUCCUCGGGCCUUGUGGGAUGGUCAAAUCCAUCCUCUACAAAAGUGUUAGAGCUUAGAAAUGUGAAAAGUGAAUAAGAGGUCCUUAGUGGUUGAGUGUUCAGAAAAGAAUGUUGUUCAUUGGGUGAGUGAUGUGAGUGUUUUUCAUUUUGGGUUAUGGGAUGAAUGAAAUGGGUGUAGAAUUUGUAAUCACUUAGGAAUGGGGUAGAAUGAUGAGAAUGAAUCUAUGUAUGCAUGAGUUGCUUCUAAUCUUAGAUAAAUUUUGCAUAAUGAUCAAGCUCCUUGUUCUUGAGUGAUAACCACCUUGAAAUGACAACAUUUGAAUCCUUCUUUUCAUUCAUAUUAGACCAUUGUUUACCUAGCCAAAUGAUUGAGAUCAUGUCCCCAUUUGUGAGAAUUCACCUUGUGUGUGUGUGUGAAUCUAUGUGAGAGCUGGUUGAAAGACCUUGUUAGUUGAUGAGUAUUGCAACUUGAGUAGAGGAAUAAGAGUAUAGAUAGGCCUAGAGAAGCUAGAGUAUAAUAAGGGAGUUGCUAAUGCUAUUUGCUAUGUUUUCUUAUGAUGUUAGGUUGAAGGCUAGAAAGUGUUUCUUUUGGUUAUAAACUCCCAAUUUUAAAUAUCUCCCUCUUGAUUGUUUUUGAAGUUUACUUGUGGACAAGUAAAGGACUAGUGUGGGGGAGUUGAUAUCUCAUGAUUUUCAUAAGUUUUAGAUUCAUCCUUUAGCUUAUUAUGAUCAUUUUAGGUUGCAUUUAGGUGUUAAAUUGUAGUUGCAUACAUAAUUGCAUUUGACAGGGUCUAAGAUGCACAAUUGGAAGUUUUGAAGCUGAUUCGGGUGGACCUUUCUGUAAAUUCAAGAGUUUUGGUGUCAAUUCGUAAAUAUCUAAAAGAAGAAGGACCAUAUGUGCAAUUUAGCCAAAAUUCACCAUUGGAGAGACUGUGAGCUUUCUCUUCCUCGACUCCGGAGCUGGACGACGAUGGCUGCGGCUUGGAGAUGUACUCACGACACCGGAAGCUUGGAAUGGACGACGAUGGCUGCGGCGGUGGAGGAGCUCGCCGUGCUUGGUCCGGUGACGUCAUGGCUUAGAAUCCGGAGAUUCGUGGUGGAGCAAAGCGUCGGAGAGAGGCUCAGACUCACAGGCGGUGACGCAGUGGCGAUGUCGUGGAUAUGGUGAAGCUCGAGGAAGACGAAGAAGAAGAAGUCAAGCUCGAGUCGAAGCGGGUCCAUUGUAGCGGGUUGGUAAGGUCGCUCGUUUUGUCACGAGCUCGGGAUUUGACGGCGAUAUGGUCGGGAAUAUCGAUCUUCGAAAAAUCUUGAGAGUAUUGGGAGCGACAUGGAUUUGUUCUCAUCUCUUGCUAGCAUAGGGUCAUCAUUUGAGCUAGCUUCUAGGAUGGUGAGUGGGGUCUUUGUUCCUUAAAGGUUUAUAUCUUGGGUUUGGGAAGUGAUAAAGUUGAGAUUGAUGAACAAAAGAUUGUCAUGAGAAAGAAAAGCCCUAGGGACCUAGAAUAGAAAAAUAAGAAAGCUCUUGAUUGUAUUGUUUGAGACCUUCCCCCCUUUAAAAAAAAAAUGGAGAAAAAGAAAAAGAAAAAAAGAAAGAUUCAAUAAGAUAGUGGGGAAGGGAUAAUAAAAAGUGUUAGAGCUUAGAAAUGUGAAAAGUGAAUAAGAGGUCCUUAGUGGUUGAGUCUUAAGAAAAGAAUGUUGUUCAUUGGGUGAGUGAUGUGAGUGUUUUUCAUUUUGGGUUAUGGGAUGAAUGAAAUGGGUGUAGAAUUUGUAAUCACUUAGGAAUGGGGUAGAAUGAUGAGAAUGAAUCUAUGUAUGCAUGAGUUGCUUCUAAUCUUAGAUAAAUUUUGCAUAAUGAUCAAGCUCCUUGUUCUUGAGUGAUAACCACCUUGAAAUGACAACAUUUGAAUCCUUCUUUUCAUUCAUAUUAGACCAUUGUUUACCUAGCCAAAUGAUUGAGAUCAUGUCCCCAUUUGUGAGAAUUCACCUUGUGUGUGUGUGUGAAUCUAUGUGAGAGCUGGUUGAAAGACCUUGUUAGUUGAUGAGUAUUGCAACUUGAGUAGAGGAAUAAGAGUAUAGAUAGGCCUAGAGAAGCUAGAGUAUAAUAAGGGAGUUGCUAAUGCUAUUUGCUAUGUUUUCUUAUGAUGUUAGGUUGAAGGCUAGAAAGUGUUUCUUUUGGUUAUAAACUCCCAAUUUUAAAUAUCUCCCUCUUGAUUGUUUUUGAAGUUUACUUGUGGACAAGUAAAGGACUAGUGUGGGGGAGUUGAUAUCUCAUGAUUUUCAUAAGUUUUAGAUUCAUCCUUUAGCUUAUUAUGAUCAUUUUAGGUUGCAUUUAGGUGUUAAAUUGUAGUUGCAUACAUAAUUGCAUUUGACAGGGUCUAAGAUGCACAAUUGGAAGUUUUGAAGCUGAUUCGGGUGGACCUUUCUGCAAAUUCAAAAGUUUUGGGGUCAAUUCGUAAAUAUCAAAAAGAAGAAGGACCAUAUGUGCAAUUUAGCCAAAAUUCACCAUUGGAGAGACUGUGAGCUUUCUCUUCCUCGACUCCGGAGCUGGACGACGAUGGCUGCGGCUUGGAGAUGUACUCACGACACCGGAAGCUUGGAAUGGACGACGAUGGCUGCGGCGGUGGAGGAGCUCGCCGUGCUUGGUCCGGUGACGUCAUGGCUUAGAAUCCGGAGAUUCGUGGUGGAGCAAAGCGUCGGAGAGAGGCUCAGACUCACAGGCGGUGACGCAGUGGCGAUGUCGUGGAUAUGGUGAAGCUCGAGGAAGACGAAGAAGAAGAAGUCAAGCUCGAGUCGAAGCGGGUCCAUUGUAGCGGGUUGGUAAGGUCGCUCGUUUUGUCACGAGCUCGGGAGCGGCUUGAGGCUCGCGGGAUUCCCUUAACCGCGCGAUGACGAUUGACGCGGAGAGAAGGGCACGCGGGGUCAUGUACCCGCUCGCAUGAACUGAAGGCGUGGUGAUGGCUUGACGCGGGGAAGCUUACGCGGGUUGAGCCCCAAAGAUCUUACCCGAGUCGAUAUUUUACCUUAGUCGAAUUUUAAUAUUUUUAAAGGGCAUUUUAGACUUUCUAAAGGAAACCAUUAGGUUUUCCAAGGACAUAUAAAUACUCUUGUAAUCCCAAAGUUGGGGGGAUUAUCUUAUUUUCUAUCUAAUCACAAAAGAACUUUGAGUUGAAAGAUCUAAUCUUGAUCAUAAGUUCUUAUCUUUGCUUGAUUAUCUUGCUCUCUAAUCAUGUUUAACCUUGAAUCAUCCAUGGUUUUGGGGUUAUUCAUGUCUAUUAGUGAGUAGACUAAUCUUGGAUUCAUGGGCUAUGGUGAUUAAGGGUGAUUAGAGAAGAUCUAGGGUGUUUAGUGUUAGAUUUACUUGUUUCCUUGCUUGUUGAGGGUUCUCAAUGCUAUUUUAGUCAUGUUCAUACUAAAAUAGAUCUCUAGGCAUUUCAUGCCCACAAGGUGUAUGAUGAAAUGCCUGAACCAACUCUUCAAUGCUUUUAGCUUGCUUUACCUAAGAGAUUAGUUGCUAAAGGAGUUAAGAUUGCUAUUAGACUUGUUCUCCAUGUUUGCUUUAGUAACAUUCAACCUAAGAGAUUAGAUGCUUGAGUUGCUUUACCAAAAGAACAUUCAUCUAGAGAUAGAGCUUGUUUAGCUUAGUGUCUAGGCAUAAGGAAAGUGUUUGAUUGAUACCUUGCCACCCUUAGAUUGGAUCUACAUCACCCAAGAUCAAAUGCCUAGCCCCAUGAGUCCUCUUGCUUCAAAUUGAGAAAGAAAGAUCAUUACUUUAUUGCAUUAGCUUACUAGUUCUUAGUUCAUACCAUCUUAAAACCGGAUCGCACUUAGCUUAAGCAUGAACUUGCAUUCCCUUUGCUUUAGAAUCACUUAGGAUUGGUUCGACAAUCUUUUAUAUUACAUUGAUUUGAUCUUAGACCCAUGAAAAGUCUUGCAUCAGAUAUACAUUGUCAUAAGUACAAUCUAUAUAUAUAAAAAAAUGUUUGCCUCCCUCCUGUUGCGCCACCUCAGCAUCCAUGUCACAAAGUCGAGUCCUGAGAAGCCGACACGUGUCCCUUCUAUUAAUACUCUGCGUUUCAUUUAUAGAGUGGGCUGCUGCUUUCAGUUUUGUUAUAGAGUUGAGCCGAAACUGAAAACAUUGUCGAAGCCCAAUAUUGACAAUCUUGCAAUCAUCUAUUUUUAAGGUUCAUGAUAUUCUUCAAACUCUGAUUUGUUAAACCGACCAUGGAGUUUCGGAUAGGUUAUGAGAGACGAAUUUUACGGCCAAUCUUUGGUAAGAACUGUCAUUUGUGUCGAUUUUUCUGUAUUCCUUCUCGACGGCAAAGGGAAACCGGACCGUUAAGGGAUGCAUUCAAUGUUGCCAUUGACAACCUUCUUAAUUACCCACCCUUCCAUGUUUCUUAAUAUAUAAUAUAUUUUCGAAAGUUAACAUAAAAUAUCUUAUAAAUAUAAUAAUUAACUUAAAAAUGCAAGAUAUUUAAACAAUUAGAACCAUAUAAAUUAAAAACAUGUGAUUUUUAAAGUUUAGGUUAUAUGCUAUUGAAAAUAAUCAGUAAUAUGAAUUAAAAUACAUAGGAUUUAAAACAACUAAUCAUAAAAUGACAAAAUCAUUAUUUUAGUUUAAUAUUUUCAAAAAUGUCAAUAUUUUCAAAAUUUUAUUUAUUUCAAAAUAAAACAGAAAUCAAUAUCAAACAAGGAAAGCUAACAAAAGUACAAAAAAUUAUAUAUGUAAGUUAACUGAAUAUAUAAUAAACUUUCAAAAAUUUAAAAUAAAAUUAAAAAUAAAAAUAAAAAUGCAAGGCUUCCAAAGAAUUAUAACUAUACAAAAUUUAAAACAGGUAAUAUUAACUAUUAUUAAUAAAUUAACAAAAGUUAUAACUAAUACCAAACAAGGUAUGUUAACAAAAGUAAAACAUUAUUAAUAAAUUAACUUAUAUAGAAUUUUUUUUUCGAAUUUUAACAUAAAAAUAAAAUACAAAAUAAUAAUAAUUAAUUAAAGUGCAAGAAUUUCAAAAUAUUAUAAGUAAAUUAAUUUAACUCAUAAUGAAAAUCCAUAUUUAUAUAUAUAAAAAAAUGUUUGCCUCCCUCCUGUUGCGCCACCUCAGCAUCCAUGUCACAAAGUCGAGUCCUGAGAAGCCGACACGUGUCCCUUCUAUUAAUACUCUGCGUUUCAUUUAUAGAGUGGGCUGCUGCUUUCAGUUUUGUUAUAGAGUUGAGCCGAAACUGAAAACAUUGUCGAAGCCCAAUAUUGACAAUCUUGCAAUCAUCUAUUUUUAAGGUUCAUGAUAUUCUUCAAACUCUGAUUUGUUAAACCGACCAUGGAGUUUCGGAUAGGUUAUGAGAGACCAAUUUUAUGGCUAAUCUUUGGUAAAAGCUGUCAUUUGUGUUGAUUUGUAUGUAUUCCUUCUCGACGGCAAAGGGAAACCGGACGGUUAAGGGAUGCAUUCAAUGUUGCCAUUGACAACCUUCUUAAUUACCCACCCUUCCAUGUUUCUUCAUUCAAUGAAUAUCUUUUUUCUUCCAGUCGGUGAAUCUUCUGCUAUAAAAGGUGAGUUUGGAACCCGUGAACAUCAUCAUUUCAUUCCACACAACCAUAAAAAAAAUUCUUUGAGCAGAAUGUGAAAGAAGAAGGAAGAGAGGCGUACAUGAGUCUCACUGGAAGAGCCUAAGCUUGAUGGUCCAAGUUCGCCAGAAAAUAAAUUGGAAGCUCAGGUCUCGAACCUUGAUUUGGUUGGUCAGACUGUUGUUCUCAAAGAAGUCGACGAGAGUUACAGGUCGGGAUCGACAUCUGAGUCAAAUCUAGAAAGGAGAGCUUUGAUCGAUUAAGGAGGUAUGAGUGAGAUUCGCGAAUCUCUCUCAAGCUGACUCAACCAAAUAUGGAUGUGCUUACCACAGAGAUAAAAUCGUCGGAGGAAUACAAAAAUUAGCGAUGGGAGACACAUCGGGAUCGACUGGAUUUUUAACCAUCCGGUAAGUCGGGCCUCUAUAGAAACGGAGUCGCUGAUAUUGUCAUCGCAACAAAAUCAGAUAAGGAAUAAGAAGCUUAGCUUAAUUCAAUCUCAGAUGGAGACUAAAGAUUGUUGGAGAUGAUUAGAUUUGGAGUUCUGUUGAGACAAAACAGUGGCAACGGAUUUGGUGCUAGGAUGAGCUUGGAGGUUAACGAAGAUGAGGAAAAGAUUAGGUAUGAAGAAUAGAGGAAGACGAUUGCUCAAAAAAAAAAAAGAAUAGAGGAAGACAAAGGAGAUUUUGUUUGAUUCUUGGUGUCGAAAGAGAAAAAAAAAUUAGGUUAGAGUUGGUCAGGUGACUGUUAGUGGGCCUCGGCUCUAGCUUUAUUACAUCAGCCCACUCGAAAGCCCACUUCUAGAUACCUGCACAAAGACGAGUUUGUUAAUUUUGUACGUGAAAAUAGAAAAAUAUGAUGCAAGUCAUACGAGUUUACGAACUUUAAAAGAUAUAUGUUUCUCUUUAAAAGAUAUUUAAAACAUAUAGGUCGUACUUUCAUAAAGCACAUAUAUGUCUCUCUUUAAAAGAUAUUUAAAACAGGUUCACAUUUCAUCAAAUCAAAGUCUACGGAAAUUUUAAAUAAGUGAAUAUGUCAGUUUUCUUUUAAAUCAUUAAAAUCAAACCAACAAAAUAUUAAGAAAAACCACAACAGAUAAUUGGAAAACAUAUAAACUAGAUAUAACAAAAAAAAACAUAAGAACAAAAAAAAGAAAAAAGUUUGUAUUAAUAUAAACAAAAAGAUUUAUUCAAAUAAAUGUGUUAAAAAAACUCAUGAAUUCCAAAACAAAAUUAACCAUAGAUUCUAUACUGAUAUAAUCAUAAUUUUUUUAUAUAUUUGCAUGGCCAGAAGUAUAGAUGUAAUACAAAAAAAAUGACAAAAUAAAUAAAAGUAUAAAUAAAUUAAGAUAACCUAAAACAAAACGAAUCAAUAGAUAUAUAUGCAACACCAAAAUAAGUUUAAUUAUAAAAUUUAGUUAAUAGCAACAAGAUUGGAUUGAGUUCCUGACAUUAAACAAUAUUAACACAUAAAAUAAAAAAUAAAACAUCAAUUAUAAAAACAAAAAUAAUAAGAAAAUUAUUCCCGCGCGUAGGUCCAUUAAAAAUAUAUAUUUGAAAUUUUGAAAUUGCUUUUGGAGAUGUUCUUAACACGAAACAAUUGUUUUUGAUUCGUACUCCAUUAUAUGUUCAUCUCUUAAAUAAUAAUAACAGAGUUGGUCAGGUGACUGUUAGUGGGCCUCGGCUCUAGCUUUAUUACAUCAGCCCACUCGAAAGCCCACUUCUAGAUACCUGCACAAAGACGAGUUUGUUAAUUUUGUACGUGAAAAUAGAAAAAUAUGAUGCAAGUCAUACGAGUUUACGAACUUUAAAAGAUAUAUGUUUCUCUUUAAAAGAUAUUUAAAACAUAUAGGUCGUACUUUCAUAAAGCACAUAUAUGUCUCUCUUUAAAAGAUAUUUAAAACAGGUUCACAUUUCAUCAAAUCAAAGUCUACGGAAAUUUUAAAUAAGUGAAUAUGUCAGUUUUCUUUUAAAUCAUUAAAAUCAAACCAACAAAAUAUUAAGAAAAACCACAACAGAUAAUUGGAAAACAUAUAAACUAGAUAUAACAAAAAAAAACAUAAGAACAAAAAAAAGAAAAAAGUUUGUAUUAAUAUAAACAAAAAGAUUUAUUCAAAUUGUUGGGACUUAGAAAUUUUAUUAAUUUAUAGAAAUAUUAAUUUACAAAAUUUUCUUUAUUUAGAUUAUUAUUUUAAGGUAUAUUUAUUUUAAGAUAAGAAAAACAUUUGAUUUUAGUGUAUAGACAUUAAUUGUUAUUUUUUAAAAAAUUUGACAUUUAUAUUAAUUUUAUUAUAUUAUUUGGGGUAUAUAAUAUAUAUUGCAUAGAAGAACUUAAAUGUGGUUUUAGAUAUAAUAUUACUAAAUGGGAUUGAGUUCCUGAAAUUAAACAAUUUUAACACAUAAAAUAAAAAAAUAUAACAAAAGUUAUAAAAACAAAAAUAAUAAGAAAAUUAUUCCCGCGCGUAGCUCGAAAUGUUAAGAAAAUAUAAAAAUAAUUCUAUUGUGAAUAUAAAACUAACAAUAUAAUAAUAGGUUCUUAGUUAUAUAAAAUAUGUAUACAUAUAAAUUAUUAAUUUAUAAUUUUAAUGGGACCAUAUAUUAAUAUAGAAUUUUCUAAAAAAUUAUUAAGUUCUUGUUAUGAUUCCGUUUGUUGGGUUUUCGAUCACCUCCUUUCGCCUUCUUUACCUCCAUCGAAACGAGAAAGUUUCCAGAUCCAUCACAUUAAACAUGUUAUUAACUACUUUAGCCACGAUCUACACUUCAAUGUGUGUGAAUCUUCUUAGAGGCCGUGUAUAAAAACAAAUGCUUUCCUCUUCUCAAAACCAUCAUCUCUCUCUCUUUCUCUCUCUCCUUGGAGGGUUUCUCUGAGAUUCUAAGUUUUAGGUGUUGUUGUACAGAAUUGUAACUGUUUAUGUAUCUGACCGGGAGCAUUCAGAGCUAGAUGCGGCGGUGUUGGGCCGUUCCACGAAGCAACAGGUCUUGAAUCGCUUCAUCUCGACGGCUGCAUUUUCGGCAACUAACGAUGCUAACUCCCGAGAAACCCGGUGGUGGUUUCAGGUCGUUGCUUGAGCUUCCACCUACACAAGCAGUGGAGCUUCUCCAUAGGGCGGGCCGAUCUUAGUUUCCUAUAUUUUCAUGCGAAUUUAUGACAAAAUAUAUUCUGCAUUGGUUAUACUUAUGUUCUGUUUUUUUUUUGUCUGCAAGCUAAAGAUUUAUGUUGUUCAUAUUUACGGUUUGAUAUGAUAAAAUAUUUAUGGAGUUAUUUAAGGUAUUUUCUGAUCUCAUAUUGAUAACAUUAACAUAUAUACAUAUACAUAUAUAUAUAUAUAUAUAUCUCUGAUUCGUCGUCAUCUUUUUUCCAAGCACUGGCCGGUACCGGAAUCGGUUUAGAUAUCUCUCCACCGCAGCUUCUGGACAUUGACUUUUCCUUCUAACUCAGCCCUCUUGGAGCGAGCAGCUCACUUCUCGGUACAUGUACGAACGCACCACUGAGAAGCUUGCAGACGAUGAAGAAGCCGAGACGCUCUUGUGGCGUUUGCUGAGUUUGAAGAGCAAUGCAAGGAGCCGGAACGUGCUAGGUUUAUCUACAAGUUUUCUCUUGAUCAUAUUCCUACAUGGAGAGCUGAUGAUUUGUAUAAAAAGUUUGUGGCAUUUGAGAAACAGUAUGGUGGUAAGGAAGAGAUUGAGGACGCCACUGCUGGGAAGAGGAGGUUUCAGUAUGAAGAUGAAGUGAGGAAGAACCCUUUGAACUAUGAUUCUUGGUUUGAUUACGUUAGGCUUGAAGAACCGUGGGGAACAAAGAUAGGGUAAGAGAGAGAUCUAUGAUAGGGAUAUUGCUAAUAUGUCACCUGCUGAAGAGAAAUGAUACUAGCAAAAAUACAUUUUUCUCUGGUGAAUUUAUUCCUUUUCAGUUUGGUUUUGGCAAUAAUGCAUAAUCGAUUUAGCUAGAAUUGGAAUGUUGCCUUCUUAUGUAGUUAUGUGAAUCAUGCUUUGGAUAAGAAAGUUAACUUUUUAAACUGAGUUGUUAGAGUUUGAUCAUGGUUUGCAUAAGUAUUUCUUUAACAGUGAAAGCUAUUGUUGUUUGUCUUUUAUUAACAUAUUUGGUUCUGCGAUUUUAACUAUAAUGCAGAAUUCUUUUAGAAUGUUGGGUUCAUGGUUUGCGUAAGAUGUUGAUCAUACUACGCAUAAGAAGGUUAAUAUGGGUUUGGGUGUGGUUGAUUUAGUCAGAUAUUAGCUCUUAUUGAGUUUUAAGCUGCACAUUCAGGUCAGAAAUUGAUCUAUUGAAACAGAUUGUUGCAUUCUGUGGAAAGCUAUUGUUGUUUUUUUCUUGAAACAAGUGGAAAGCUAUUGUUGUUUGUUUGUCUUUUAUUAGCAUAUUUUGUUCUGCGAUUUACUGAAACAUUGACACUGAUAUAACUGAUUGGUGUAGGGUUAACUAUGCAUUGUAUGGAGAGACUGAAACAGAAGAUGUAUACAGGUACGCCAAAGCCUACCUGUUAUGAAACUUGUGAAGUUACUUUCAUUUGUGUUUCACUCUAGCAUUUUAGUUUGACUGUCUGUAUUCGUCUUACCAAACAUUACAGAUAAUGUCUCGAGCUUAUCUCCCACUCCAAAUUUUCCUUUGUCAAAAUAUGGUUGCUUGCUGCUCAGAUAUGUGGAAACGCUAUUAGGAAAUCUCCAAAAAAAGAUAAGGUAAGCAUAAAAUGUGUUUGAACGUUAUAUGUUUCAUUGCUCUCAUUUAACAUACUUACUUUUGGUUAUAUUGAGUGGUCUACAGAGAAUUGCUAUGCUUGGAGAAAAUACGCUGAGCUAGAGAGGUCUCUUGCUGAGACUGAACGAUCUAGAGUUAUCUUUGAGCUUGCAAUAUCUCAGCCAGCACUUGACAUACCCGAACUGCUAUGGAAGGUAAAAUAUUCUGUCCAACAGAUUCAACGAAGUAAAAUAUUCCUCAGACUUUUGAAUCGAUUGGAUCAUUGAAACGCUAUAUUUUUCUGUGUGGCAGGCGUACAUAGAUUUUGAGAUAGCAUAAGGAGAAUUAGAGAGGACACGAGCUUUAUAUGAGCGACUCUUGGACCCGCACAAAGCAUUACAAGGUGUGGCGGUGUGGGUUAGUUUUGCAAAUUUUGAAGCUUCUGCUGCGGAACAAGAAGAAGACUAGGAAGAGGAAGACCAAGAAGAAAUAGAUGCUAUUGAACUCAAGAAAGAGUGCAUCAGACGUGUCAGAGGUAACUUUAAAACUACAUGUUAUGUGAAUUUUGAUUAUAACCGUGAGACAUGUUUUAACUGUUUUUCUCUCUCUCUCUAUUUUCUUUCUUCUGCUCAGCUAUUUUCGAGAGAGCAACCAGCUACUACAAAGACUCUGCACCAGAGUUGAAAGAAGCAUGAGCUACACUAUUGGAAGAUUGGCUUAACAUGGAGAAAAACUUUGGUAAUCUCGGGGAUGUGAGUGUGGUACAAUCUAAGCUCCCGAAGAAGCUCAGGAAAAGAAAUUAAACCAAUCACUAGAGAUGAUGGGUCUACAGAGUACGUUUUUCAGUACAUAUAUCAUUUCUCAAGUUUGAUAUCUUUUGAUUUUGAUGAUCGAAGGCUUAUUGUGAACAUUUUGUUGGAAUCUUUUGCAGGUAUGAAGGGUACAUUGAUUACCUAUAUCCAGAAGAAUCACAGACAACAAAUCUCAAGAUUCUUGAAGCUGCUUACAAGUGGAAGAAGCAGAAGCUUGCAGCUUCUGAGGAGGAUUGCGAUUAUUACCAAGUUUCUUUUAAGUUAUAUCAAAAAUGUGAGUUGAUGUUUUGUAUACUUUCUUAGUUCUCUGUACAUUGCCACUCAUCAUUUAUGAUUAUGCUGUUAUCUUUUUGUUUGUGUUAGCAAAAAAAAAAUCGAUGUUAUUUUAGUUCGGUUUGGCAUUAGACCUUUAGGUUUUCUUUUUUCGAUUUAGAAAAUAUGGGACAAUCAGGAGUCUAAAUUCCGUUUAUUAUUUCUGAUUUUUUUUGGGUUUGUGAGUGGUGAAACUUAAAAGGGAAAUGCACCCUCAAGCUGAAGCCGGUGAAUUUUUUUUUGUAAUUAUUAAUCCACCAGUUUAAAAAGGAAAGAAUAUACAACUAAUUUUCUUGGAUUGUAAGACCAUGAUUAACCCGGAUUCUUAAGGUGAAGUUCUUAGCUUCGGUUAAGAACUGUUUCUUAGCUUUUAAGUAAGAAAAGCUAAGAACUGACUCUUAGAUAAGAGAUAUAAGAGUCGGUUUUUAGCCGAAAAGUAUAAAAAAAAUAAAAAAACAAAAAAAUGUCAAAUCAUAAGUUAAGAACCCCAAAUUAAGAACCCGGUUUAAUCAUGCUCUUAGUGGUGAACCAAAAAGCAUGAGAACAUGACAUGAAAACCCUAUCCGUGUGAAUAAAACACACAAAAAAGAGAAAAAAAAAUGAAAUAGAAUUCUUAAAUGGAAAAAUCCAUGGAUUCAUAAUUGUAUUUUGAGUGAAGAUUUAGGAUUAGGUAUAAUGAUGUGGGAUCAGUGUAUGUUGAUUGGUUUCUUAAUUAGUACUAUGACUUAACCUACAUUUAUCGCAGUUUUAUUUAAUUUUGAUCUAAAAUUUAAAACUUUGUAUGAAAAUUGUUGUAAGUGUAUAGAGUUUUAUCAAAUAUGGAAUUCAUUAUAAAUAAAUUUGUGGUAUGCAUUUCAUUUAACAUAAUAUAUGCAUUUAACAUAAUAUUUGCGUUUCAUAACACUUGGUAUGAAUUUGAUUGAAUUCACUCACUUUUUUGUGUGUUUGUGGUUUUGAUGAUGAGUUAAGGUAGCUGAGGUAGCUGAGAAAGGACAUGUUAAACCUUCAAAUUAUUUUGAUUUCCAUGGGAAUAUUAUUAUAGGUAUUGUAACUAAAGAAGGUAUUUUUUCCCAUGCUAAAUGAUUCAGUGAACUCUCUCUGUAAAUUGUUUGGUGUUUUUUUUAACUUUUAAUACUGACUCAGUUUUUCUUUCAUGAACUCCUGGAAUCAAAGGUAGUCAAUAUUUUGAUGUUGUAACAAAUCUUAACAUCCUCAAAAAGAUUUGAAUGCUUCAAGGCUAAUAGACUAAAAGUAGAAUUUUAGAUAUUGAUUUUUAGCAUGAAUCUUUCUAUAACUAUAACACUCCAACCAAGAUGACUUUAUAUAGCUAAAUUGUCACACAAUAUACUGUGUCACAAAUACAAAUUUCAUCAGAUCUUUAACCUCAGGAAAUUAGUCAUCCCACAUAAAAACAGAGACAACAUUCCGCGCGAAACGCGGACCGACCUUAGUAUUUAUAAAUAAUAAUGCCUUCAAUGUGACACGUAUAUGUUAGUGGCAAAGUAUUAUGGCUUUGUUGAUUUUAAUUGAACUUAUACUUGUAUUCAUUGUGAAUAAUGUUUUGUUUGAUGCCACGGUUUAUCUUAUGCCCAGAGAAUUCUCAGAGAAUUCUGGUUGUAUGUGUUGUGUCCUAUAAAAAUACACGGGUUUGUUACAAAUAUUUCUGGAGAUAAUAUGGAUCAAUUAAAGCAUGUCAAACCUAAUUUUAAUCUUCCCAAUAUAAUGAAUAUGUUUUUGAUUAGGUUGGGUUGCUGUGUCUUUGUUACUGAUGCUAUUUCUAUGUUUUUGUUCUAAUUAUUGGCUUUGUAAUGCAUGGAAAACAUGUUUACAUUUACAACUGAUAUCAAGGCCAAAAGUUUCUUGCGAAAGAACAGAGGAGAAAUAAGUUACAACGACUGUUGUAAUGUCAAAAGGAAAAAGAAUUAAAUGAUGUACUCCUUCCGUUUCAUAUUAAGUAUCAUUGUAGAAAAAAAUUUCAAUGCAAAAUUUAUUAAUUUUAUUUAGCAAUUUAUUUUUCUAUUGAUUUAAAUAGGGGAAAUUGACAAUAUAGAACAACUAAACUAAGGUAUUGUCCCCUUAGAACAAAAUCAACUUUUGUCACUUUUGUACAUUCACUACCAUUUUUGUAUAUAAAAAUUCAUAUCAAUUUUUUUAAAAUGCAAAAAAAUUGGAAAAAUUGUAUAUUUGAUGUAGAUAAGCAAUUUCAUAUAAGAAAAAUAAAUUUGGAUUCAAAAAAUGUUUGAAUAGUAAUUUCAAAAAUGGGGUAAAGUUGUUAGAAAAUCAGAUCUACCAUCUACUGAGGUUUAGAAUAUAUAAUCUAACAAAGACAUAGUGAUCUACCAGUCGUAGCAUGCACAAUACACCGAAAACAUUAACAACUGCUAGGGAAGAAUAUAAAAUCCUCAUUCCCUUUAUGCUCUACGUAACUGGUAGAUUUGAUGCGCUACAAAAACUAAUUAAUCUACUAAAGUAGGAAAUGCAUUAUUCGAAUUGUCUUUUUGUCUACACCGGUGGCAUACAAUAUUCUACCAGGCCUUCUAAUUUCUAAACAGAUAGAAUGCAAAUUCUACCUAAUAAAAUUACAAAAUCCGAAAAUCUAGCAAAAAACGGUUAGGAAAUAUUCAGUAAAUCUUUUAAAUGUUUUUAAUUUCCUUUUUUUAAUUUUUUUUCCUAAAAUCUUGUCUUCUUCUUCAACAUACCACGAUUUCUGAAAUUCAAAAGUUUUCUUCAUUUUUUAGCUCUUCCAAACUUUUGUCAUUCUAAAAUAUGAAAAUUAACAUAUAUGCUUCAUGUGGUUUGUGGAAACCGUCGAUGAACAAUGGAUGGGGAUUUCUUGUUGAUGAAGAAAAAGGAGGCAGGUUACUUACUUUGGACACAAGUUCAAGUUUUGAAAACCUAAAGGCUAUGGUGUGUGAAGACUUUGGAAUUGAUGUAAACAUGGUCAAUAUAGAGCUGAGUUAUUUACCUUCCGAUUUGAUCAAUAGCAUCUACUCACCCCCUGUUAUCAUCACCAGUGAUCGGCAAGUUAGAAAUUUUCUUACAUAUGUAAAGAACAAAACUUCGAUGCAGUUAUGUGUGAGUACUCAAGCCUCUAACAUAGCGGAAGAAGGUACUGAGUCGCCUAACAGCGAGGAAGCGCCUAUGGAGUCGACGAUUCAAGUGAUAUGGAGUCUGACGAUGCAGCUGAUAUGGAUUCAGAAGAAGAUGUUGAGGUAUCUGACAGUGAAGAUGACAAAAAGUGUGACAAAGAGAAGAUCAAUGAAGAUGGUGUUCGCUUUUCUUUGGUGGAUGUUGUGAAGAAGGGUCAAUCUUGUAGUUCCAAAACACUUUUGAAGGCAGAAUUCGAAAUAUGUGCAAUAAAACAUAAUUUCGACUACGUGGUUGCCAGAUCGGAUAAAAAAAGUGUGGUACAUUCGUUGCUCAUAUGAUGAUUGCACAUGGCGUGUUCGUGCAGAAGGAUUAACAGGCUCAUCGUAUUUUAUCAUCAAAAAGUUUUUUUUAAUUUUUUUUCCUAAAAUCUUGUCUUCUUCUUCAACAUACCACGAUUUCUGAAAUUCAAAAGUUUUCUUCAUUUUUUAGCUCUUCCAAACUUUUGUCAUUCUAAAAUAUGAAAAUUAACAUAUAUGCUUCAUGUGGUUUGUGGAAACCGUCGAUGAACAAUGGAUGGGGAUUUCUUGUUGAUGAAGAAAAAGGAGGCAGGUUACUUACUUUGGACACAAGUUCAAGUUUUGAAAACCUAAAGGCUAUGGUGUGUGAAGACUUUGGAAUUGAUGUAAACAUGGUCAAUAUAGAGCUGAGUUAUUUACCUUCCGAUUUGAUCAAUAGCAUCUACUCACCCCCUGUUAUCAUCACCAGUGAUCGGCAAGUUAGAAAUUUUCUUACAUAUGUAAAGAACAAAGCUUCGACGCAGUUGUGUGUGAGUACUCAAGCCUCUAACAUAGCGGAAGAAGGUACUGAGUCGCCUAACAGAGAGGAAGAGCCUAUGGAGUCUGACGAUUCAAGUGAUAUGGAGUCUGACGAUGCAGCUGAUAUGGAUUCAGAAGAAGAUGUUGAGGUACCUGACAGUGAAGAUGACAAAAAGUGUGACAAAGAGAAGAUCAAUGAAGAUGGUGUUCGCUUUUCUUUGGUGGAUGUUGUGAAGAAGGGUCAAUCUUUUAGUUCCAAAACACUUUUGAAGGCAGCAUUCGAAAUAUGUGCAAUGAAACAUAAUUUCGACUACGUGGUUGCCAGAUCGGAUAAAAAAGUGUGGUACAUUCGUUGCUCAUAUGAUGAUUGCACAUGGCGUGUUCGUGCAGAGGGAUUAACAGGCUCAUCGUAUUUUAUCAUCAAAAAGUAUGUACCUGAUCAUUCAUGUGCUGCAUCCAAUAGGAAGGGUUCUGUUAGGACAGUUUCAGCAAAAACAGUGGAUACUCUGAUUAUGCAUAAGUAUGAAACUGCUAAAGAAGGGCCGAGAUUGAAUGAUAUAAUCCAGUAUAUGCGUAUGGUACAUGGAGUUGAGAUAUCCUAUUCUUUGGUGUGGGAUGCACGUGAAUAUGCAAUCAACGCAGUGAAAGGUAUUCCAGAGAAAGGUUAUGAAAAAAAUCCUAAAUACUUGCAUAUAAUGAAGGAAGCUAAUCCAGGGUCACACACGUUUUAUGAAAGGGAUACAAAAGGGAGAUUCAAAUUCCUCUUCAUCUACUUCGAUGCAGUUAUGUGUGAGUACUCAAGCCUCUAACAUAGCGGAAGAAGGUACUGAGUCGCCUAACAGCGAGGAAGCGCCUAUGGAGUCGACGAUUCAAGUGAUAUGGAGUCUGACGAUGCAGCUGAUAUGGAUUCAGAAGAAGAUGUUGAGGUAUCUGACAGUGAAGAUGACAAAAAGUGUGACAAAGAGAAGAUCAAUGAAGAUGGUGUUCGCUUUUCUUUGGUGGAUGUUGUGAAGAAGGGUCAAUCUUGUAGUUCCAAAACACUUUUGAAGGCAGAAUUCGAAAUAUGUGCAAUAAAACAUAAUUUCGACUACGUGGUUGCCAGAUCGGAUAAAAAAAGUGUGGUACAUUCGUUGCUCAUAUGAUGAUUGCACAUGGCGUGUUCGUGCAGAAGGAUUAACAGGCUCAUCGUAUUUUAUCAUCAAAAAGUAUGUACCUGAUCAUUCAUGUGCUGCAUCCAAUAGGAAGGGUUCUGUUAGGACAGUUUCAGCAAAAACAGUGGAUACUCUGAUUAUGCAUAAGUAUGAAACUGCUAAAGAAGGGCCGAGAUUGAAUGAUAUAAUCCAGUAUAUGCGUAUGGUACAUGGAGUUGAGAUAUCCUAUUCUUUGGUGUGGGAUGCACGUGAAUAUGCAAUCAACGCAGUGAAAGGUAUUCCAGAGAAAGGUUAUGAAAAAAAUCCUAAAUACUUGCAUAUAAUGAAGGAAGCUAAUCCAGGGUCACACACGUUUUAUGAAAGGGAUACAAAAGGGAGAUUCAAAUUCCUCUUCAUCUCAUUUGGUCAGAGUGUUUGCGGUUUCUAUGUUGCAAUUCGAAAAGUUAUUGUGGUGGAUGGGACGUUUUUGAAGAGCAAAUAUAAAGGAGUAUUACUAGUUGCUACUUCAUUAGAUGGAAACUCGAGUUUAUAUCCUAUUGAUGCAAGCAGCUCAUCAUACGCGAAGACCCCAAGGAUAUAUCCUCAUUUUCUCAAAAUCCAUCACCAAACGGAUGAACUCGUGAGGGAUAAACACUCUCAAAUCCUUAGCAAUGACGAAUCCAUGUAUAAUACACAGAUACACUAGCCUCACUCUGUCCACAUACGUCCACUCGUUACAGACUUUAAGGAGCUCAUCCCUUAUAAUCAAUAAGUUGACCUUUCUAUUUUCCUUCAGCACCGUGCUCCAGAACCCCUUAUCACUCUUCAAGUUAUUGAAGUCUAUGUCGGGUUCUUCUUUGAACUUCAAUCCAGUCGCAACAUAAAAUUUUUGCAUAGAAAACCUGUGAGGCCUCUUUGCAAAUAGAAACCAUAACUCGUGAAGCUUCUAAACCUUGAGCUGCUUGCAUAUGAAGCUGUGAAUAAUCUUCCCUGAGUAAAUGAGCUUGUUCUCUACGAUUGCCAAAAUCGGACCGAAGACAGGAUCUUUCAAAACUUCUUGAUACUCAUCCUUGAGAACAACCUUCAACGUCUCCAGAAUGGUGCGUCUACAUGUGUUGUUAAUCUUAUCCAUCUUGGUCUCAACUCCUUCUUCAAGAAUGCGUUUUGGAAACUGGUAAUCCAUUCCUGUAAAACAUUAAAUCAAACUCCUUAGUCUUUUCAAGUUCAUUACGAAUUCAAAACACAAUACAAAGCCGAUACCAAAGAAAAUAGAAUUCAAAAGCAACUCAAAAAUAAGCUACAAUCAACUCAACCCACACACUACAAUCAAAACCAUAAGUGAAUCGAUUUGUGUUUUUAAACAAUUCAAGCUCUUUCUACUACAUGCACACAAACAAAAACGAACAAAAAGAAAAAAAUAAUCAUAAAGGGGAUUUCAAAACUCUAACCUUCAAGUUUUGGGAAACUGAGAUGAAGGAAGAUCAAAAGAAGAACAAUAUGAAGCCAAUCGUCCUUUAUCAGCGAGAAGAAGCUACUCCAGAGCUUGAAUAGCUCUUAUCGGUAUCGGCGGAGAUAACAAAGUGAUUGUAAUCGAUGGUUCUCAAAGAAGAAAGAUGACAGAAGGAGGACGAAGGAGAGAUCUGACGACGAUCGUCGUUUCCGACGAACGUAGACGGCCAAGAGAGAAAGCGUUGACGGCGUUUUGAAAUCACAUACACCAGAGUCAGCGACGAAGAAAGUUCUGAUUUUUUUACUUCCUACAUUUUUUUUUACUUCCUACAUUUUUUUUUACUUCUUACAUUUUCAGUAAAGUUAAAAUGUUAAUCUCAUUAACGGUAUUUUAGUAAAAAGGACAAAACAUGUUUUUCUUAUUUUUUUAUUCUAAAGGGACAAUGAUUAGGAUUUUUAUUUUAAGGGGACAAAAGUAUACUUUUUUUGUUCGUUAUCGGCAAAUUUCCCAUUUAAAUAUGAUUAGGUGUAGGUAAUGUGUUUUUAUAUAAAAAUAUACAGAAUUAAUUGUGUUUUUUAUCUGUGUGCACAAACCCAAAACAACGCUUAAAAUGGAACGUGAGGAGUAUUAUGUUGCAGUGUAAAUAGCACUAAAUGUUGUAAUUAAUUUAAUGUAAUAUUUCGUAACGUCUAUACUCCAAAAGUUGGUCGAAUUAGAUAAUGCAAUGGUAUUUUUUGUAAUCCGUCUAGUAAGCUAAGGGUAAUUUAACUCGGACUGUGAGAAGAGCUGAAGUGCUGACACCUAAGCAUACUAAGAAAAAUCACAACUUAAAAAUGUUUAUCUUUUAAUAUAUAAAAGAUUAGUGGAUUAACACAUUUAAAAGUAUGAUAAAAUUAAACUGGUGUAAUGUGUGCGACUGGGAUGAUGCGGCAGGAAGGGCAAGUAGAGCCUAACCGAAACCACUUGUCAAUGCAAAAAGCGUGAAACUCAUGUCCGCACAGUGGCAACACUGGUACCAUGUCAUUGUCACCUGCCACGUAAUCUUCAAGACAUAUCACACAUCUACAUGACCUCACAAAAACACAUGAUUCCGACGACAAUGUCCCUUUUGGGAGAGACCUCCCAAUCUCCUUAUUCAAUGGUUUUAGUUUUUGCUUAAGUACCCUACGCCUCGAGUAGUGCAAUAGGACGAAGUAAAAGAUCAUCACGAUUAGAAGAUAGAGUGGGAACGCAUCUGUUGACUUAAAGAAAUCUGUGAUCGUUAGCUCAGUAAAAUUUGCUUCUGUGGCUGUUGGCGAAAUAGCCAAGAGCAGAGCCGAUCAUGGGCCAAGCCGGCCGGAUGAAACAUAUUCGCUUUAAGCUCCUAAAUUUUUUGAAAAAAGUUAUAUAUUAAUAAGUUUUGAAAUUUGUAAAACAAAAAAAUUUAGACUUCUAAAUUAUUGAAAUCCUUCUUAAACCGUUUAUAACCCCAAAAAUCUCAGGGGCAGCCCAAGAGAAGAGAAGGAGGAGGAUAAGUCAUGAGUGAGAGUCUCCUCUCCAACAGGUUUGAUCAAAGAAUUAUGAAGCUUUUGAUAAAGCAACGAUUGAAGUCAUUAGGGCAUGCAUAAUGUAUUUGAUAUUUUUUUGUUACAGUUUAAAUACAUAUGUUGUAUUUCACUAUGCCAUUAAUCUUUAUUUUGCAUAAUUUUUAUCGGAUUUUAAUUCCAAGACCAACUUAGGAAGGGAAGUUUCAUCAUGCAUAAGAACGCAAUUUUUGUAUUUAUUUUUUUUGUAACUGAAGCAAUUUUUGUAUAUAUGUUACGUAAACUCUAUACCGUAGAGUAAAGAGACCAUUAAUAAACACAUUUUAUAUUUUGAAAUCUCUACCUCCAAUCAAUCUUCUUUGAGUCCAUGUUCACAUAGCUUUUUUUCUUAAACAAAGAUUACUAAUUUAAAUCCUAAAUAAUGAAUGUGUUUAUAUACGCAUGUCUACUUCUUUGUAGAAUAUAAACUGAAACUGUGACGUGACGUGAGAGUGCAUACCUUAUCAUAAGCGUUCUGUAUAGUGGGAAUGUACUUAUCAAUUAUCAUAAGCGUUCGGCGUUCCAUAUAGUGCCCAUAUAGUGGGAAUGUACUCAUUAUUUUUGAUGUUGUCUCAAUAGGCUCUUCGCGUUUUCAUCAACAAUUUUGAAUCUAGGACUUUAAUGGGGUCUUCAAUGGUCACCGAUCUAUCUUAAAACGGUGUGAAAAUUUUCAAUCAUCACUUCAUUCACAACCAUAGCUUUAUAUACCUUAGAUUCGGGUAGAUCAAAAAAGUUUGGGAAUUAUCUCAAUCUUUUUUUUUUUUUUGAAAAAAAAUUAUCUCAAUCUUAGAAGAGAAGUUAGGAUUAUAUGAAAUUUUUUGAAAUAUAUAUACGAUUUUAGAGAAACUCAUACGUUAGAUUAGCUUGAUGGACAUGAGUCAGUGAGAAUAAAAAAAAAUGGAGAUGUGAUAAAGGAAAAUAGGUAAGAAGAGAGUGACAAAUAUAAUCUGGAAUGAUUAAUCCUGUCUAGUGUUGUAAUUAAAUCGGCAAUGAGCUUUCCACACAAAUAUGAAAAGAGAUUUUUGGAAAAGAAAAAUCGAACCCCUUUAAUACACACCAAAAGGCCAAAAAAUUAUGUUGAACCCCAUAAUUUUAAUCUCGAAAAAUUAAUGUUUCAUCAUGUUUUAUGAUAUUAUGGAAUAUGGUAGCCAACUUAUCUUAUAUUUAUGUAUGUCAUAUAUUUAGUCUUUUUUUAACGAUAGAUUGUACUAUUAAGCCUUUUAGGCAAAAAUUUCUAAACUGUGAGAACUAUCGAAAAAAUGUAGAAAAAUAUAUCCUAGUAAUAAUUCAAAGUAAAUUAACACACAUAUAUUUUGCGUAUGGAUGACUAAAAAAGUUUCAUAUAAAAGUUCUAUAUUGCUUUUAGAAUAGUUGAAUCCAAUGUUCGGAAUCGCGCUAGGCGUGAGUUGGGCGGUCGGCAUACGCCUAGCGAGUUGAUAGAAAAUCGGAGACUAAUCGAAGAGUAAUCGGGGAUUAAUUUUACACUUUUAUACGUAUAAAUAUCAGUGAAUGAUAAAUAAUUCAUGAAAACACGGUGGGGGAGAUGGUAAUUACUAUCCCUUAUUUACCAAAGAACCCGAGUUUGAGUCCUCAACCCCACGUGUUUCUUUAUUUCGCUUUUUCUAUUAAUGAGGGUUAAAAUGGUCAAUUCGGUUUUAUCUCCCUCCAUCUAAACCUGCGAUUUUCUGAUUGUAAAAAUGGUGUCUUCUAUAAUUUUCUCAGAUCUUUCAUUAUUUUCCAUCAUUUUUCACUUAAUCUAGUUAAAACUUAAUAGGUCUAACAAAUAUAAACCUAUUUCAACAUAAAACUGAACAAAAAAGUGGUUUUUUUAGUGGCUCUGAUUUAUCAACCGAACUGACCCUAACCGCUACGGUGAAGAGUCGCCUAGCGCUUCCACGCCGAGAAUCCGGGCGCCUAAACCGCGUUUUCGAACACGGGUUGAAUAUCAAGGGAGGUAAUCUUCGUAUUAAUCCAAAAAUACCACGCUUCAGACUGAAUUGAAAAUGAUAGCCACUCUCUUUUUAAUACUCCAGUAGGAGUCACCGAGACAAGAUAAAUAUUUAUAUUGCUUUAUUGAUAAUAACAUAGUCAAAGAGAUUACCGUUCCAUAAAAUUUCAUGAUGCUUUUCGAAGUAACCAUACUUUGCAGCAAGAACCAUCACCAUCGAAUGAAUAAUCAUCAACGAGUGAAACCAGUAAGACUCAUCGCCACCAUCUGUAACAGAUCUGUCAAUUAGUUUUCCUAAAAGCUUCAAUUGAACCAAAAUUUUUGUAUUACCAAAUCUAUUUGAAGAAACAUAUAAAAGAACAAUAAAAAAAAAUAUUUAAAAUAAAUUGACAAUUAAACAAAUUAAAUGACCGGAAAUAAAGCAAAUUAAAGAAAAUGAAGCAAAACAAAUCAAAAAGCUGAUGUCGGAGUUAUAGAAGCAAAGCUCUGGCCAUCGGAAAACUAUAAAAAAAAAAAAAACUUUUUCUUUCUCACGGCUAGAGUUUUUGUGUCUUGGUUGUAAAAAAUAGUCUUGACCAUAUAUUUAGUCUUGCAAUGAAAUUGCAACUCAGAGAAUUAACACAGAGUAGCAACAUAUAUUUCGUACUUCGGGGUAAAAUUUUACCAAAAAAUGCAAAAGGUAAAAGACGAUAUAGGUCGUUGUGGUAACUGGUAACUAUAAUUAAAUUCAAAAGGUUCAUCAUAGUGGUUUUUUAAUUUAUAAUUUUAUGUAGAAAUUGAGAUUCCCGAAUAAUAAAAACCAAGUUAACUGGACAAGCAAAAAGUUCUCAGACACAUUUCACGAGAAAGGUCUUUAGAAAGUUGACUUUUCGCGCCACCUUCUUUUAACAGUUAGACAUUUCCUCUUUUGAACCUCUGUUUCUCGGAAAAAAGAGCAUCUUUUCAAAUUUUUUUCCGUUUAGAGGUUUAUCCAGUGGUUACUCCGCAGAACCGCCGCGUGCAGAACGAACCGCCGGGUUCACUCCCCCGACUUGGGUCGGCGGGACCGCCAUGCCACACGAAGACACGCCGACGAUGAAGCUCUACUGCUGCUACUCCUAAAACUCUCAACCUCUUCUAGCAACGAGAUUUAGAAGAAAGAGACCCGCUGAAGUAGUUAACAAACAAAUCUACAACCAGUAAGACGUUUGGCCAACUUGACUCUACUACUCCAGAGAAGACCGGCGAAAAGAGAAGACUUUCUCCGCCAUCAAUCUUUUCGAAAACAAACCAUGGAUAACAGACGACUGUCGGCAGCAGAGAAAGGUAAAGCUUUGGUAUCAGAACCCUAUCAAGCUCCACGAAAAGCUCGGGUUAGAGUUCCAGAACCAGCAAACGCUUACCUCUUACAGAAGCACUCCCUCACCCUCAUAGGGAGAGUGACAAACCCAUCUAUACAAAAGGUAUGGUCUCCCCUGCCGAUCUUUGCAGAAAGGUGGGCUACUGAAACCCGCUUUGUGGGUGCUGAUCUGGUACAAGGCAUGUUCCAGUUCCAGUUUGAGAAAGAAGAAGACCUUCUUACUAUCCUCGACAAACGUCCCUAUCAUUAUGCAAAAUGGAUGGUGAUUGUGGAGAGAUGGAACCCUACCAUGGCCCCUGACUUUCCAUCACUUAUCCCAUUCUGGAUUAAAGUACAAGGACUCCCUGUUCAUCUUUGGACGGAAGCAACCAUAAAAGCAAUUGGAGAAGACAUAGGAAUCUAUGAAGAAGCUGAGAUAACAUCACUCAACGUGCGCAUGCGGGUGCAAAUCAACGGGACACUCCCCCUCAGUACGAGCUCAGUUGUAGAGUUCCCAAGCGGGGAUGAAGUCACAGCAACAUUGGUUUAUGAACAGUUAGCAAAACUCUGCUCUUACUACUACCGACUGGACCAUGAAGCUCGAGACUGUCUAAAAACAAAAGCAGAGAAAAAAGAAAGGUUGCUACUUACGGAAGGAAACAAUGAGGAGACAGCUCUCUCAGCCAAGGAAGCCGAGCCUACUAUGAGUCGAGGGAGAACUACUACGGGCAAAGCACCGUCAACUCGCUACAGAGACACUUACCGACCAUCCCCUUACAGUCGGCCAAAUGAGAAUUACCACAGAGACCGCUACCAUACCAACAGCUACCGUACGGAGCCACGAAAAGAUAGAAACACAAACCUGAGAGUAGCGGAAAACAGAAGCUCUCAAUGGAGAAGAACCCAUGUCCACCACUCCUUUAAUAAGGAAUGAUCGUCACAUACCCCAGCUUAUCAUGACGGCCACAGAACCGGAAGCCAGAUCUCUCCGCGUGAAGCGAGACACCACUCUAGAGAACGGGGACUCCCAAUCUCUGGAGAUGGAAAUGAAGAAUCAAGUGCAUCAAAAAAGGCUCACCAGUACUCUGCUAGGGGGACUCCCCUACAGAUACCCCAAGAAGACCUACCCAGGGAUUGCUAACCAAGAAACACCAGACCUCAAUGAUGACAAUGAUACAAGCCCAAAACGCGUCCCUGCACUGCUUCGGCUAGGACCAUCUCCCCCACCAGCGCAACUAGGAAUGCACCCUACGAACCAAUCUGAAGCCCGUCGCAAACCAGGGAGACCACCAGGCACAAAAAAAGAAAGCUCAAAGCAGCUAGAAACUCCUGGCGGGAUCAAGCUCGAGGAAGAGAAAGGUGCAACAGUCCAAACCCCCCAACGUGCCGUAGGAGCCUUGCAACUCAGAAGGGCAAGAGAACUAACAAAACCAAGCCUGCGAACUCUCACGACAGUUCAGGACUUAGGGGGUCGGCUCAAGAUCUUGAGAACCAACCAAUCUGUAACAUGAUCCCUGCUACGAGGAAGAAGAAGAAGGGGGAUUUUCAGAAUCCGUCGACUUUCGUUCCUUAAAGAUAGUGAGCUGGAACUGCCAAGGUUUAGGGAAUCAUUGGACAGUUCAAAGGUUGGGAGAGAUCAAGAAGAGUAUCUACCCGGACAUCAUUUUCUUGAUGGAAACUAAAAACCCCAACGCAUUUGUACUAGAUAAACUCAAGCAUUUGGGAUAUGAAUACUAUGAUCUAGUACCUCCAGUUGGCCAUGGAGCGGGGGGUCUAGCUUUGUUUUGGAAACAAGAAAUAAAACUUGAGGUUAUAGAGGCAAAUGCAAACUUGAUUGACACACAAGUUGAAGUGGAAGGCAAAAGAUUUUUUGCCUCUUUCAUAUAUGGAGACACAGACCAACAUCAACGAAGAAGCCUUUGGGACUACUUAAUCUCUAUAAGCGAGGCGAGAGACGCGCCAUGGUUCAUUACUGGUGACUGUAAUGAUAUCCUUAGUAAUGAGGAAAAAAAGAGAGGGACCCAAAGACCCGAAGGCUCCUUCACUGACCUGAGAACUUUCUACGCACAGGGAGAUUUAUUCGACAUACCACAUAGCGGUGACCCUCUAUCAUGGAGAGGACAGAGGGGCGACCACCUGGUCCGUUGCAGGUUAGACCGCGCUGCUGCAAAUUCAACCCGGGCUGAACUCUUCCCGACGGCUAGAUGUGUUUAUAUGGCAUAUGAGCGAUCUGAUCACAAACCGCUACUCACUGUCUUUGAACCUUGCAAAAGAAAAAGAAGAGGUAUAUUCCGAUAUGACAGGAGGUUAAAAGAAUACCCUGAGGUCUCAGAGCUAAUAAAGAUAACAUGGGAAGCAGCUCGCUCAUGCUCAGUAUCGGAGAAAAUUACUUUAGUAAGGGGGGCAAUCUCACGAUGGAAUAAAACCAAACAAGCGAACAGUAGGAUUGUUAUUGAGCACAAGAAGGUGGAACUUGAAAAAGCCCAAACAAGCAGCGCAAACGACCUGGAACUAAUCCACAAAAUUUCCAGCGAAUUGAAAGCAGCCUACAAAUCAGAGGAGGCGUACUGGCGCCAGAGAAGUAGAUUAUUAUGGUUGAGACUUGGGGACCAAAACUCGGGGUUCUUUCAUGCGACGACGAAGAACCGGAAGCGGGUGAAUGACUUCUCAGUCAUCGAGGACGCAGAGGGCAAACCUGUCUAUAAGGAGGAGCAGAUUGCUAAGGUUAUUGUCCAGUAUUUCAAUGAUCUCUUCACAAGUACCCCGAGCGAGAGGGAGGAAAUCAUCAAAGUAGCGCUUCAACCGAGAAUCACAGACGAGGAGAAUGGCAAGCUGAUACAGAUCCCGAGUCCAGAGGAAAUAAGAAGCGCUGUCUUCUCCAUACACCCUGAUAAGGCGUCGGGACCGGACGGAUUCUCGGCAGGGUUUUUCCACUCCAACUGGGACGCCACUGGAGGCGACAUUGUCUCAGAAAUACAAGAGUUCUUUACCUCCGGGAAGCUCCCAGCGAAGAUAAACGAAACCUUCGUCCGCCUAAUCCCCAAAAAAGGAAGCCGACAAAUGGUAGCGGACUACAGACCGAUAGCGCAAUGCAAUGUCUACUAUAAGAUCGUCUCCAAGAUCUUGACGAAACGUCUCCAGCCGCUGCUGCCUUCUAUUAUCUCAGAAAAUCAAUCCGCCUUUGUACCGGGAAGAGCAAUAUCAGAUAAUGUUCUAAUCACACAUGAGGUUCUCCACUUCCUCCAAACCUCUAAAGCUGAGAAAAUAUGCUCAAUGGCGGUCAAGACGGACAUGAGUAAAGCCUAUGAUAGGCUAGAAUGGGAGUUCAUUCAGUUGGUCCUUGAAAUAUUGGGAUUCCAUCAGAUUUGGAUCAGCUGGAUCAUGGAGUGUGUCUCUUCAGUUACAUACGCCUUCCUCAUCAACGGCUUGCCUAGAGGAAGAGUUAAGCCGAGUAGGGGAAUCCGUCAAGGAGACCCACUUUCACCAUAUCUAUUCAUCUUGUGUGGUGAAGUACUCUCGGGACGUAACAGAGCACAAGAAACUGGCGAGUUGGCCGGCAUUCGAGUAGCCAUGGGAUGUCCUAGAGUCAACCACCUCCUAUUUCCGGACGACACCAUGUUCUUCACCCGAGCAAACGAAGCCAGCGCAACAGCCCUUACAACGGUGUUACACCAAUAUGAGACCGCAUCGGGCCAGGUUAUCAACGCCGAUAAAUCGGCAAUAACCUUCUCACGCCGAAGUCCAGGGGCCCUAAAGACAAAAAUGAAGCGGAUUCUGGUUAUACAAAAAGAAGGGGGUAUAGGAAAGUAUCUCGGCUUACCGGAUCACUUCGAGGAAAGAAACGUGACUUAUUUAUGUCCAUUGUAGAUAGGAUACAAGUCAAAGCCAGCAGCUGGUCCAACAAGUUUCUCUCAACGGCCAGGAAGUUGGUCAUGCUAUACAGUGUUCUAACGCCGGUCCCCUCAUACGCUAUGACGUGUUUUAAGCUCCCCGUGUCGUUGUGUGAUCGGAUACAGUCAGCUCUAACCAGAUAUUGGUGGGACGGAAAUGAUGGGAGCAGAAAGAUGGCAUGGGUCUCAUGGACAAAAAUGACCCAACCAAAGGCUAAGGGCAGCCUGAACUUCAAGGAUUUCCAGAGCUUUAACGAUGCGUUCUUAGCAAAGUUAAGCUGGAGACUAAUCAACAAUCCCCACUGUCUCUUGAGCAGAGUGCUAAAAGGAAAAUAUUUUGCCGACGAGACCUUUCUAACAGCAUCACAUAAGUCAGUAGAAUCUCAUGGCUGGAAGGGACUUUUGGUGGGAUGGGACCUCAUCUGUAGUAAUGCUGGAUGGGCUGUUGGGAAUGGCGAGUCGAUUCACGUAUGGACAGACUCUUGGCUGAGCAAUACCGAGCAACUCCGACCCAUGGGACCAGCACCAGAAAACCAACAAGACCUUAUGGUGGCUCAUCUCCUUCUACCAGACAAAUCGGAUUGGGACAGAGAAGCUAUACGCCGAGUGAUCCCACAUGAGGAAAGCAAAAUCCUAAGUCUAAAACCUAGCCGAACUGGAGCACCUGAUAAACUCAUUUGGUUAGGCACCAGGUCUGGAGAAUAUACUACAAAGUUGGGUUACAGAACAGCUCUGGAAAGGAAGGACAAUGCGGAAGCAAACCACGCAGGCGACAAGUUUGAUUGGCAAAAAGGAGUGUGGAAACUACACACUGUGCCAAAAAUAAAGCUUUUCCUCUAGAAGAUUUUCUGGGGAGCUCUACCAGUAGGCGAGGGACUGGCUGCUCGAAACAUCACCACCAACAUCAACUGCAAGAGAUGCAACACGACUGAAUCUAUCAAUCAUCUUUUCCUUCAUUGUGGUAUGGCACAAAAGGUUUGGAAUAUUGCCCCAUUCUCCACUAACGUUGAAACUAGAGGAUUGGUAGAUUUGACUGCUAGUUGGAUACACUUUGCAAGUUAGUGUGCCUCCCACCUUCGGGAAUAACCUCAGGUCAACUCGCCCCCUGGAUCCUCUGGCACCUCUGGCUGGCAAGGAACGAUCAUAUCUUCAACAACAAAGAGACAACAUCUGAAGCAAUAAUCACAAAAACGGUAGCAGCAGCUCGAGAAUGGAUUGAGGCACAACCUAUCUUCCCAGGGUCAACUACGGCUCCGCAGCGUAUUGAAGAACCAUCCAGACCUCUGAACUCGAUAUUACUACAAACGGACGCAGUUUGGAGAGAAGAUCUACAACUAGCGGGACUCGGCUGGUGUAUAGGUGAGGGAACUGAGAAAACCUUAACCUUGGCACACUGUCACCACGUUAAUUCACCUUUGGUAGCGGAGGGUCUGGCGCUCCAAGAAGCACUGCAUUACUGCAUUGAGAAAGAAAUUCGCCAGGUCCACUGCGAAACAGACUCUCUCAAUCUUGUCAAGGCGCUCAACUCAGACCCGUCAGCUACAGAGCUCUAUGGAAUUGUCGCUGAUAUAUCUUGCUUAUCUUUAGCUUUUGAUUUUAUUUCCUUCUCUUGGAUUCAACGGGGAAAAAAUGGAGAUGAUGAUGUUUUGGCAAAGCAAACUCUAUGGAAUAUAUCCAGUGUCUAGCUUUCUAUAAACAAUGGAGCCUAGUUUAUUCUGAUUAUGAAAGUUGGUGUUACAAAAAAAAAAAUAGAAAUUGCUUUUUACAAUAUUAGAAAGAAAAAUAUAUUCGUGGCCACCUACCGAUUCCCCACUAUCUCAAUAAAAUUCAACUACUACCAAGCAAUCAGUGUACACUGCGAUCCUUGUUGCUUACUUUCCACACUCUUUGUCAGGUAGUAAUAAUUAAUUACCAGUUUUCCACACGAUUUAAGAAGAAUCAAGCUACGUUGUGUUUCUCAUCCGGACAGAGCUCAAAGAUCUUCCUACAUGGGUUCUCUUGACUUGCCUCAAGCUUCAUCAUUCAAGGUUUUUUCUUAAAUAUUUUCCUUUAAGCGUAAAAAAUCAAACCGAUUAAUCAAUAUGAUACUAUAUGGUUAUGUUGUAACCAGGGAGGAAGUGAAAAUUUUCUCCGGGAUGUGCUUGAGAGUAUACUGAAAACGUAUUUGAGGAAGAAUCUGAUGGCAAAUACGGUAUGGGAACUAGUUCAGUCAGUGGACAACGAAAAGGUCUCCUACGACCACUUUUUCUUCAGGACAAUCAAGGUAUCAGCAGUGUGCAUGCUCAGUUCUGAUCAACAAGCUGGUAUUUUAGGCAUCGAGUUUGUGUUUAUUAGACAUCAAAGUAUAUUAAGAACUUGAGGGCAUCAUUUUAGGUCGAUGGUUAUGGAAUAGAUUCUCUGUCGAGCUUUUUCACGGAUUAUGGAUAUCAAGUUGGAGGCAGACUUGAUUUUCCAAAGAAGCAUCUACACGUUCUCUGGCUUUCUCCUCCUUAUAUAAACGUCCCUGGUGAAGGACACGGUCUAGGCAACGGCCCCUUGCCACGAAUUGUUAUAGCUGAGCUUCUUGUGGACGAACUAAGCCAAGAAUCACAGGUAUGAAUGACAACAAACAUACUGUUGUCAAUAUGAGUCUUCAACAUAUCUAAUUCUCUUUUGUUGGUCCUAAUUGAGAUUAAAUAUUAUUACUAUUUGAAACCAGAAGGUGGUAAGCAAGCCAUUCUUUCAAGUACUUUGGGAUCUCUAAUUUGGGAGAAGCCAACAUCCACCGACUUUAAUCAACUUGCCAAGUAUAUAUCUGAUAACUUUUAGUCAUUACAUUUGAUGGUUAUAGCUUAUCAAUAAAUGAAUUGUAUGUGUCUCAAUGGUAAAGAGAGAGUGAAUAUGGAGCAUGGGCGCUUUUCCACGGCUACACACUGAACCAUCUUGCAUUUGCGGUCCAUCGACUUAAACAUCGUUUUAGUGACGAUAAAUGUGUCGAAGAGUAUUUCAAAGAAAAGGGAUUCAAACUCAACGAAGACGGAGGAGAUGUGCUCAAAGGUCUUCUUCACUUCUCUUGAGAUUUUUCAUUAUGCUUCUAUUCUAUAAAUUUAAUUAGGUGAAAAAUUAUUUCAGUGAGUGAAGAUGGUCUACUGCUACAAGUGUCGUUAAUGUCGGAGAAACAUGAGGUUGAGUUUGCAGAUGGGGUAACUGAAACCAUCACGGCUUCAUACAUUGAGUUCGUUCAACGUCUAGUUCUUCCAGAGUUUAAAGAUGUGCCCCAUGAUGAGGUAAGAAUCUAUUGACAUUGAUUGCAUCUUACACUAGUAUUAGACAUUUUUCACUUUUUCUUGUGAUACAGAUCAAAGAAUUUCAUAGACGUGAGGGCCUCGAGCAAGCUAGCGCCUACCACAUAAUGGAAAGCACCCGUUUCAGAGCACAAGAUUAAAACCAGCUGUCUUGUCUUGUUCUGCUCACUAUGUCAGUGUUGUGUAUCUUUAGUUGUCCGUAUGCUAUAUAUUUCGACCAUCUGCGCGGUAGAUAUUUAUGUUGUUCUUUUCUUGUGAAGUGACGGUAGCUUAUAUUACCUCUCUCAUGAUGGUUAUAGUUACCGAUGAAUAAUUGAAAACAAAGUGUGAUUGUUUGGGAGUCGUUUGUUGUGUACAUGUGUUUUUCAAAUUUUAAAUAAAAUAACUCGCUAGGUGAAUCUAACCUUAGUUCAUGUAGACUAAUUGGUUGAAAAUCUCGUCUCGUUUUAAGUUAUUUUGCUUUUGAAAAGAGUUAACUUAUUCUUUUGUAUAGUUGUUAAUUGGUAUAACUGAUGAUAAAGCAUUAAUCUUCUAUAACAAUAAAGGAGAGUUAUCUCUCCACAAUCUUCCACUCCAUCAUUCAGAGCAAUUGUUGCCACGUGUCAGUAUUUUCUAAACUUUCUUUUGCACGAUAUUUUCCAUUUUUCAUAACUGGAUCUUUAUUUUAUUGGGCCGUAACUAAUUUAUAUGCAUCUGCAAACAAAUGCUUCUAAAAACCUUGAUCAGUAUAACUUUCUUUUUUUUUCUCCGUUUGACAGAUCAAUUAGCCAUUCGUUUUCUUUAUUGCGGAACAUAAUUGCAUAUACCUCUACAACUUCCCCUCAGAGAAGAGAAGAAGAAACAUCAAACUUGGAUUUCCACAAUCAUCGUCGAAUUGAUCUCUUUUCGGUCGAUACUUGGGAAACAGAAUCCUUGAUCAAUCCAUCAAAUCAUGGUGAGGAAAAAGGGUGUCGGAAUGGUUUAAUAGCACCAUGUGGUCUGCUCCUCCUCCGCCCUUUCAAGAGUUUUGACUUCUUUCUCUACACAAUAGCAAAAUUUUAUUUUAGUGAGGACUAAUCUAUAUGGUUCAAGAGAAACUUUAUUUUAUUCUUUCUGGGAAUGACUAGAUUCGUCGCAACCUCCCCCUAACGCUAUUUCUAACGUUAUUAAAAUAUAACUUGAUAUUUACGAUGUUGGUGCAGUAGCAGAAACAAAGGAGGAGAAGUCAGCUUCCUCGGAACCGAGGAACGGUAUCAAUAUCUCUGGGGGUAAUGGAAACUCAGGUGUUCCUUCCACCGAGGACUUUUCCCGCCAAGCUUAUCUCUCAGCGGAGGUCAGGUCAAUUGCGCAAACCUUCCCUCCUUUAUUAACUUAUCUUAAGAUUCUUCUAAGUCUUGAAUUGUUAAUUGAUUUGGUUUUGAUUAGUAGUUAUCAAAGAAGGUGAUCAAUAUGAAGGAGUUGAGGAGUCUUGCUUUACAAAGUUUUUCUGAUUCUCCUGGAAUCCGUUCUACUGUCUGGAAGGUAUUUGAGAUUUAGGAUAUAGUUUGGUUUGCGUGAAAAGCCUUAGGAGAAAUUUGAAAUGUGAUUUUUUAUUUUGUAACUUUUGCUUGGAUACUUGCCACCUGAACGUUCACUCUGGUCAACUGAAUUGAAACAAAUGAGAUCCCAGUACAAACACACACUAUAAGGAUGAGCUUCUUACCACUUCUGUAAGUGAUCAUGUUCUCUUUUUUAUUGUCGAUUCCUACAAAAUCCGAUCAACACUAUGGCUUUCUCUAAUCAUUUGAACGAAAUCCUUUGCAAUAUAACUGACCCAAAGAGGAACACAUGAGGCAAGAUGGGUCGAGAACACAAGUAAAUUUGUAGUGAGGACUAAUCUAUAUGGUUCAAGAGAAACUUUAUUUUAUUCUUUCUGGGAAUGACUAGAUUCGUCGCAACCUCCCCCUAACGCUAUUUCUAACGUUUGUAAAAUAUAACUUGAUAUUUACGAUGUUGGUGCAGUAGCAGAAACAAAGGAGGAGAAGUAGAUGAUAACUCUAAUAUCUCCCGGGGUAGGAGCUAAACAACACUCCACUGAGAGCCGAGAGGAGCCAAGAAGCUACUGUUUACGUUGGGAAUCUCGACCCCCAGGUUCUUCUCCUUUCUCUCUCCCUAACUUUAGAUUUUUGAUUUAUUCGGUAGAUUUACUGUGUGUUUCUCAGUUUCUCUUCUCUGUGAAUUGUAGCUAUAUAUAAAUAAUUUCUUUGGGAAUGUUUAAUACAAGCAGGUCAUGUUGGUAAGUUGAACGCUUUGGUUCAUAUGAAUAAUCUUUGCUUAGUUGCUUCUGUAUCUUAUGGUUGUUGGCUAUACUUAGAAGAACUGGUCUUCAUCUGACAUUAAGGUCCUCUGUUUAUUUUUGGAUUUUAUCAAUUAAUGUGUAUGUUCCCAAAGAUAGGGUGACAAAUCUUCAUCAAGGUUGACUUCCUUUGUGAGGAAGACAUUGGCUAUGUAAGUCUUUCUCUCUUUCAAGAGUUUUGACUUCUUUCUCUACACAAUAGCAAAAUUUUAUUUCCAUAUUAUGCAGGCAAUUAAGGUUCUCAACAUGAUUAAGCUCCAUGGAAAGCCUAUACGUGUUAACAAGGUGUCAUUUUUGUUUCUAUAAGCAUCCUCUGUUUUGUUUACUGACAAAUGCUCCGGACUUUUAUGAGUUUUGAUUUUAUCCCAUCGUAAGAGUUUGAUAACACUUUGUUUCCUAGAUUGAAAUUUUAGUAGGCGUCUCAAGAUAAGAAGAUCAUCGAUGUUGGUUGCCUUUGGAAACAGUUAAAACAAUGGUUGAUAUUUACGCUUCUGCCAAAGGCUGCACAUUAAAAGAUCUUCAUUACAGAAUAGAACAAAAUGGGCGUGGAUUUGAGUACCACGGAUUGGGUUGUUGUUUAUAAUUCCAAAUCUACAAGAAGCGGAAGAUUGGCCUGUCGGAGUUGGUCAUGUUUAUUUUGAUGCCAAUGGCCAAUAAUUUUGGAUUUUAUCAGAGACCAUCAAGAGAUCACUUAACAGAAACUACUACGUUUAGAGAGCAGCACGAGGAGAAAAGAAAAGGUUAAGCCAAGGUAAUAAAGAAAACAAUAAAAACUCGAGGAAGAGACGCAAGGCAAGAAAUAUCACAAGUUUAUUCUAUAACCAAUCUCAAAGUCAAUAUGGCAGAGGUAACAAAUGCUUAAGUUCAUGUCAUUUUUGUUGAUUAUUUUGGGUAGUGAGGUUUAUGAAAUAACAGAACACUUUACUAUGCAGCAUAUUCCAGAUUAUGAGAGAGUGUUUUGUGGAGAAGAUAGCAUGAGUCAUCGUUUAAUUUGUAAUCAGUGGAUGAUAACACUACGUAGUCUGGUUUCAAAGAAGCUAUACGCACUUCUCAUUCGUCUGUCUUUUAGUUGGAUUAAUGCACCAAUUUGACCAACUUUGAUUCUCCACCUUACUAUCUCUCGAUCAUUAAAUUUUCUUUCAAGGUAAAAUCUUUGCUUCCACACUAAUGCAACUAAAAGCAAGUAUGAAUCUCUAUUUACAUUAGUUGAAGUUGUUGGGUAGCUAGGAAAGCUUAGUAUAGAUAAAUAUAUAAAAGUGAUGUUGAGGAAAUUGUAUUAUUUUCUUGGAAUAAAUUAUUGUCAAACUAUUAGAUAUUGUUAGUAUUUUGCAGAUUUUGUCAUAGAUGGCUUUGAUCAAUUAUGAUGUGUUGUUGCAAAAGGAUCCAGCCAAAGAAGGAGGAGGAGUCUCACCUUUUUAUUUUCAUGGAACAUAGAAAUUUGCUGCAACUGUUAAAUCUGGAUUUAGCCCACUGUUUGGUCUGGUUUGCUUUUGAACUUUGUAGCUGUUGUUGCAACUACUCUGGUUUUUUCAUUCCCUGUUUUGAUGGAGCGUAUAUCAACAUUUUUGCUUCUGUUCUAUACAGUAAGAUUUUGGUUUUCCAUAAUAAGAACCAGAUUUGAGUUCUAAGCAACACGAUCACAAAAGAUCAAAACAAAAGAGGGUCUAUAAUGAACAUAUACAACUCUGUUUAUCUACUUCACAGCGGCCGCUCUGGUUGCACUCUGAAGUUGAGCUCGUCCACAUCAUCGUAAAGAUGUUCAAGUCCUCUGUUCUGUUUUUCUAUUUCACUUCACAUAUUCCGUUUUUCUACUUCACUUCACAUGAAUGAUGGUAAUGCGGCUAAAAUUAGACAAAGAAGAGAUGAAAAGAUAACUAAAAUUAGUUAGAAAAGAAAACCAAAUAAAAAUGGAACUGUUGCUAAUGCAAACUAAAUAAAAAUAAUUAAACAGAUUAAAUUACAAUAUUCAAAAUAUAUACACAUUCAAAAUAAGAUCGAACAUAGAUACAAUAUUUAUAUAUCUGACAAAGAUCCGUAGUCGAAGAAUAAACCCCACGAUCCGUAUAUAACACGUAUAUAGCAUAUUUUGAUAUAUAUAUAUAUAUAUAAUUUGUUAAUAGUUUUAAUUUCUUAAAUUUUAAAUUUUUAUAUAAAUAUACAUAUAUGAGAAUCAAAAUAGUAUAAUUUCUAAAUCUAGACACGUCUUCCAUUAUUUUAAAUGAUUUUUAAUGUCAUAAAACUGGAUAUAAUUUUUAAUGAUAAAAUAUUAUAUUUGAUAAUAUUUUUUGAGGAAUAUUAUUCUUUCCUACAAGUUCCCAAAAAAAAUGUUAUUGAUAUAUUAAGCUAAAAGAUUUUAUACACAUUAAUAGAUUGUUUGUUGAAAUAUUUAUUUACAUAUUCUAUUAUUUAUGACAUAUUUAUAUUAUCAAUUUUAGGUACUGAAUUUUAUUUUUAAAUAUUUUAAACUUAAUAAUUUUUUUUAUUAUUAUUUUUAAUAAAGAUAUAAAUUGUUUUUAGUUUAGUCUUUAUAAAAACACUCUAAACUGCAAAACAAUAAUAUUCUCAAAAAAUUAUUAUAUAAAUUUUUAAUAGUUGGUACGUUUUUAAAAAAAACAAAUAUCUGUUAAAUAGUUUUUAGGAUAAUAAAUUAGUGAUGUGUUUUAAAAAGAAGAAAAUAUACAUGAUUUUAACUGUUUUUUAGUUUUGGAAUAUUUUUUUCUAAAUUAAUUGUUUAGUUCAUAUUAAUUAAUUAUGAUAUGCAUAAAAUAUGAGUGACAUGUCAUUAUAAUUAUUUCACAAAAUCAAAGACAAAAUUUUAUGAGGGAUUUUGUUUUAAUAAUGUAGAAGAUAUAAAAAAUGGUCAAAUAAAAAUAAUGAUUUAUUUUUUUAAUAAAAUACCAACGCAAAUGAAUACAUAAUAAAAAUAGUAUAAUGUCAUAAAUACAAGGUAAAGUAAAACCAAAAUAGAUUUAAAUAAACAUGAAAGCUUUAAACCAAAUAAAUAAUAUCUUCGCACACACUUGAGAAGUAAAACGUUUGGCUACUUCGUACACUCACGAAUAUGGUUUAUUAUUGACUUGCUUUAACAUGUUUGAUGAGAGGCUCUGUACCUCCCGCAUACUGUACAGAUUCAACUACAUUAGCAUAUUAUACUUUUGUUGUCAAACCAAAUAAACACUUCACAUGAGGACUGAAAUAUUUAAAUGUACAUUGUGAGAACAAACAUCCACCUCUAAAAUUAUUCACGAACACUUCAAUUUUAUAAUAAGUUAUCUUGAGAAAAUAGUCUAUUCAGAUCCGAGCGAUGCUAGACCAUGAUUAAUAAUUCACUUACUAGAUUCAGUAUCAUUUUGAAAACAAAGUAUUNNNNNNNNNNNNNNNNNNNNNNNNNNNNNNNNNNNNNNNNNNNNNNNNNNNNNNNNNNNNNNNNNNNNNNNNNNNNNNNNNNNNNNNNNNNNNNNNNNNNNNNNNNNNNNNNNNNNNNNNNNNNNNNNNNNNNNNNNNNNNNNNNNNNNNNNNNNNNNNNNNNNNNNNNNNNNNNNNNNNNNNNNNNNNNNNNNNNNNNNNNNNNNNNNNNNNNNNNNNNNNNNNNNNNNNNNNNNNNNNNNNNNNNNNNNNNNNNNNNNNNNNNNNNNNNNNNNNNNNNNNNNNNNNNNNNNNNNNNNNNNNNNNNNNNNNNNNNNNNNNNNNNNNNNNNNNNNNNNNNNNNNNNNNNNNNNNNNNNNNNNNNNNNNNNNNNNNNNNNNNNNNNNNNNNNNNNNNNNNNNNNNNNNNNNNNNNNNNNNNNNNNNNNNNNNNNNNNNNNNNNNNNNNNNNNNNNNNNNNNNNNNNNNNNNNNNNNNNNNNNNNNNNNNNNNNNNNNNNNNNNNNNNNNNNNNNNNNNNNNNNNNNNNNNNNNNNNNNNNNNNNNNNNNNNNNNNNNNNNNNNNNNNNNNNNNNNNNNNNNNNNNNNNNNNNNNNNNNNNNNNNNNNNNNNNNNNNNNNNNNNNNNNNNNNNNNNNNNNNNNNNNNNNNNNNNNNNNNNNNNNNNNNNNNNNNNNNNNNNNNNNNNNNNNNNNNNNNNNNNNNNNNNNNNNNNNNNNNNNNNNNNNNNNNNNNNNNNNNNNNNNNNNNNNNNNNNNNNNNNNNNNNNNNNNNNNNNNNNNNNNNNNNNNNNNNNNNNNNNNNNNNNNNNNNNNNNNNNNNNNNNNNNNNNNNNNNNNNNNNNNNNNNNNNNNNNNNNNNNNNNNNNNNNNNNNNNNNNNNNNNNNNNNNNNNNNNNNNNNNNNNNNNNNNNNNNNNNNNNNNNNNNNNNNNNNNNNNNNNNNNNNNNNNNNNNNNNNNNNNNNNNNNNNNNNNNNNNNNNNNNNNNNNNNNNNNNNNNNNNNNNNNNNNNNNNNNNNNNNNNNNNNNNNNNNNNNNNNNNNNNNNNNNNNNNNNNNNNNNNNNNNNNNNNNNNNNNNNNNNNNNNNNNNNNNNNNNNNNNNNNNNNNNNNNNNNNNNNNNNNNNNNNNNNNNNNNNNNNNNNNNNNNNNNNNNNNNNNNNNNNNNNNNNNNNNNNNNNNNNNNNNNNNNNNNNNNNNNNNNNNNNNNNNNNNNNNNNNNNNNNNNNNNNNNNNNNNNNNNNNNNNNNNNNNNNNNNNNNNNNNNNNNNNNNNNNNNNNNNNNNNNNNNNNNNNNNNNNNNNNNNNNNNNNNNNNNNNNNNNNNNNNNNNNNNNNNNNNNNNNNNNNNNNNNNNNNNNNNNNNNNNNNNNNNNNNNNNNNNNNNNNNNNNNNNNNNNNNNNNNNNNNNNNNNNNNNNNNNNNNNNNNNNNNNNNNNNNNNNNNNNNNNNNNNNNNNNNNNNNNNNNNNNNNNNNNNNNNNNNNNNNNNNNNNNNNNNNNNNNNNNNNNNNNNNNNNNNNNNNNNNNNNNNNNNNNNNNNNNNNNNNNNNNNNNNNNNNNNNNNNNNNNNNNNNNNNNNNNNNNNNNNNNNNNNNNNNNNNNNNNNNNNNNNNNNNNNNNNNNNNNNNNNNNNNNNNNNNNNNNNNNNNNNNNNNNNNNNNNNNNNNNNNNNNNNNNNNNNNNNNNNNNNNNNNNNNNNNNNNNNNNNNNNNNNNNNNNNNNNNNNNNNNNNNNNNNNNNNNNNNNNNNNNNNNNNNNNNNNNNNNNNNNNNNNNNNNNNNNNNNNNNNNNNNNNNNNNNNNNNNNNNNNNNNNNNNNNNNNNNNNNNNNNNNNNNNNNNNNNNNNNNNNNNNNNNNNNNNNNNNNNNNNNNNNNNNNNNNNNNNNNNNNNNNNNNNNNNNNNNNNNNNNNNNNNNNNNNNNNNNNNNNNNNNNNNNNNNNNNNNNNNNNNNNNNNNNNNNNNNNNNNNNNNNNNNNNNNNNNNNNNNNNNNNNNNNNNNNNNNNNNNNNNNNNNNNNNNNNNNNNNNNNNNNNNNNNNNNNNNNNNNNNNNNNNNNNNNNNNNNNNNNNNNNNNNNNNNNNNNNNNNNNNNNNNNNNNNNNNNNNNNNNNNNNNNNNNNNNNNNNNNNNNNNNNNNNNNNNNNNNNNNNNNNNNNNNNNNNNNNNNNNNNNNNNNNNNNNNNNNNNNNNNNNNNNNNNNNNNNNNNNNNNNNNNNNNNNNNNNNNNNNNNNNNNNNNNNNNNNNNNNNNNNNNNNNNNNNNNNNNNNNNNNNNNNNNNNNNNNNNNNNNNNNNNNNNNNNNNNNNNNNNNNNNNNNNNNNNNNNNNNNNNNNNNNNNNNNNNNNNNNNNNNNNNNNNNNNNNNNNNNNNNNNNNNNNNNNNNNNNNNNNNNNNNNNNNNNNNNNNNNNNNNNNNNNNNNNNNNNNNNNNNNNNNNNNNNNNNNNNNNNNNNNNNNNNNNNNNNNNNNNNNNNNNNNNNNNNNNNNNNNNNNNNNNNNNNNNNNNNNNNNNNNNNNNNNNNNNNNNNNNNNNNNNNNNNNNNNNNNNNNNNNNNNNNNNNNNNNNNNNNNNNNNNNNNNNNNNNNNNNNNGCAAUUGUUGCCACGUGUCAGUAUUUUCUAAACUUUCUUUUGCACGAUAUUUUCCAUUUUUCAUAACUGGAUCUUUAUUUUAUUGGGCCGUAACUAAUUUAUAUGCAUCUGCAAACAAAUGCUUCUAAAAACCUUGAUCAGUAUAACUUUCUUUUUUUUUCUCCGUUUGACAGAUCAAUUAGCCAUUAGUUUUCUUUAUUGCGGAACAUAAUUGCAUAUACCUCUACAACUUCCCCUCAGAGAAGAGAAGAAGAAACAUCAAACUUGGAUUUCCACAAUCAUCGUCGAAUUGAUCUCUUUUCGGUCGAUACUUGGGAAACAGAAUCCUUGAUCAAUCCAUCAAAUCAUGGUGAGGAAAAAGGGUGUCGGAAUGGUUUAAUAGCACCAUGUGGUCUGCUCCUCCUCCGCCGUUGUCUUUCAACGACGGCGAUGGUCAUUCCCCCGCCACUAAAAUGAAGGAGAAGUCAUAAUAGAUCUCCGUUGCUUCCAGGCUCAGUUCCGCUCCUCCGCCCUCCACAGCUUCCUCAGAACGGUAUCAAUAUCUCUGGGGGUAAUGGAAACUCAGGUGUUCCUUUCGCCGAGGACUUUUUCCCGCCAAGCUCAUCUCUCAGCGGAGGUCAGGUCAAUUGCGCACACCUUCCCUCCUUUAUUAACUUAUCUUAAGAUUCUUCUAAGUCUUGAAUUGUUAAUUGAUUUGGUUUUGAUUAGUAGUUAUCAAAGAAGGUGAUCAAUAUGAAGGAGUUGAGGAGUCUUGCUUUACAAAGUUUUUCUGAUUCUCCUGGAAUCCGUUCUACUGUCUGGAAGGUAUUUGAGAUUUAGGAUAUAGUUUGGUUUGCGUGAAAAGCCUUAGGAGAAAUUUGAAAUGUGAUUUUUUAUUUUGUAACUUUUGCUUGGAUACUUGCCACCUGAACGUUCACUCUGGUCAACUGAAUUGAAACAAAUGAGAUCCCAGUACAAACACACACUAUAAGGAUGAGCUUCUUACCACUUCUGUAAGUGAUCAUGUUCUCUUUUUUAUUGUCGAUUCCUACAAAAUCCGAUCAACACUAUGGCUUUCUCUAAUCAUUUGAACGAAAUCCUUUGCAAUAUUACUGACCCAAAGAGGAACACACGAGGCAAGAUGGGUCGAGAACACAAGUAAAUUUGAAGUGAGGACUAAUCUAUAUGGUUCAAGAGAAACUUCAUUUUAUUCUUUCUGGGAAUGACUAGAUUCUUCGCAACCUCCCCCUAACGCUAUUUCUAACGCUAUUUCUAACGUUUGUAAAAUAUAACUUGAUAUUUACGAUGUUGGUGCAGUAGCGGAAACAAAGUAGGAGAAGUAGAUGAUAACUCUAAUAUCUCCUGGGGUAGGAGCUAAACAACACUCCACUGAGAGCCAAGAGGAGCCAAGAAUCUAUUGUUUACGUUGGGAAUCCCGACCCCCAGGUUCUUCUCCUUUCUCUCUCCCUAACUUUAGAUUUUGGAUUCAUUCAGUAGAUUUACUGUGUGUUUCUCAGUUUCUCCUCUCUGUGAAUUGUAGCUAUCUGAAGAAUUUCUUUGAGAAUGUUUAAUACAAGCAGGCCAUGUUGGUAAGUUGAACGCUUUGGUUCAUAUGAAUAAUCUUUGCUUAGUUGCUUCUGUAUCUUAUGGUUGUUGGCUAUACUUAGAAGAACUGGUCUUCAUCUGACAUUAAUGUCCUCUGUUUAUUUUGGAUUUUAUCAAUUAAUGUGUAUGUUCCCAAAGAUAGGGUGACGAAUCUUCAUCAAGGUUGACUUCCUUUGUGAGGAAGACAUUGGCUAUGUAAGUCUUUCUCUUUUCCAAGAGUUUUGACUUCUUUCUCUACACAAUAGCAAAAUUUUAUUUCCAUAUUAUGCAGGCAAUUAAGGUUCUUAACAUGAUUAAGCUCCAUGGAAAGCCUAUACGUGUUAACAAGGUGUCAUUUUUGUUUCUAUAAGCAUCCUCUGUUUUGUUUACUGACAAAUUCUCCGGACUUUUAUGAGUUUUGAUUUUAUCCCAUCGUAAGAGUUUGAUAACACUUUGUUUCCUAGAUUGAAAUUUUAGUAGGCGUCUCAAGAUAAGAAGAUCAUCGAUGUUGGUUGCCUUUGGAAACAGUUAAAACAAUGGUUGAUAUUUACGCUUCUGCCAAAGGCUGCACAUUAAAAGAUCUUCAUUACAGAAUAGAACAAAAUGGGCGUGGAUUUGAGUACCACGGAUUGGGUUGUUGUUUAUAAUUCCAAAUCUACAAGAAGCGGAAGAUUGGCCUGUCGGAGUUGGUCAUGUUUAUUUUGAUGCCAAUGGCCAAUAAUUUUGGAUUUUAUCAGAGACCAUCAAGAGAUCAUUUAACAGAAACUACUACGUUUAGAGAGCAGCACGAGGAGAAAAGAAAAGGUUAAGCCAAGGUAAUAAAGAAAACAAUAAAAACUCGAGGAAGAGACGCAAGACAAGAAAUAUCACAAGUUUAUUCUAUAACCAAUCUCAAAGUCAAUAUGGCAGAGGUAACAAAUGCUUAAGUUCAUGUCAUUUUUGUUGAUUAUUUUGGGUAGUGAGGUUUAUGAAAUAACAGAACACUUUACUAUGCAGCAUAUUCCAGAUUAUGAGAGAGUGUUUUGUGGAGAAGAUGUUAAAAGCAAAUAUGAAUCUCUAUUUACAUUAGUUGAAGUUGUUGGGUAGCUAGGAAAGCUUAGUAUAGAUAAAUAUAUAAAAGUGAUGUUGAGGAAAUUGUAUUAUUUUCUUGGAAUAAAUUAUUGUCAAACUAUUAGAUAUUGUUAGUAUUUUGCAGAUUUUGUCAUAGAUGGCUUUGAUCAAUUAUGAUGUGUUGUUGCAAAAGGAUCUAGCCAAAGAAGGAGGAGGAGUCUCACCUUUUUAUUUUCAUGGAACAUAGAAAUUUGCUGCAACUGUUAAAUCUGGAUUUAGACCACUGUUUGGUCUGGUUUGCUUUUGAACUUUGUAGCUGUUGUUGCAACUACUCUGGUUUUUUCAUUCCCUGUUUUGAUGGAGCGUAUAUCAACAUUUUUGCUUCUGUUCUAUACAGUAAGAUGUAUAUCAACAUUUUUGCUUCUGUUCCAUUCAGUAAGAUUUUGGUUUUCCAUAAUAAGAACCAGAUUUGAGUUCUAAGCAACACGAUCACAAAAGAUCAAAACAAAAGAGGGUCUAUAAUGAACAUAUACAACUCUGUUUAUCUACUUCACAGCGGCCGCUCUGGUUGCACUCUGAAGUUGAGCUCGUCCACAUCAUCGUAAAGAUGUUCAAGUCCUCUGUUCUGUUUUUCUAUUUCACUUCACAUAUUCCGUUUUUCUACUUCACUUCACAUGAAUGAUGGUAAUGCGGCUAAAAUUAGACAAAGAAGAGAUGAAAAGAUAACUAAAAUUAGUUAGAAAAGAAAACCAAAUAAAAAUGGAACUGUUGCUAAUGCAAACUAAAUAAAAAUAAUUAAACAGAUUAAAUUACAAUAUUCAAAAUAUAUACACAUUCAAAAUAAGAUCGAACAUAGAUACAAUAUUUAUAUAUCUGACAAAGAUCCGUAGUCGAAGAAUAAACCCCACGAUCCGUAUAUAACACGUAUAUAGCAUAUUUUGAUAUAUAUAUAUAUAUAUAAUUUGUUAAUAGUUUUAAUUUCUUAAAUUUUAAAUUUUUAUAUAAAUAUACAUAUAUGAGAAUCAAAAUAGUAUAAUUUCUAAAUCUAGACACGUCUUCCAUUAUUUUAAAUGAUUUUUAAUGUCAUAAAACUGGAUAUAAUUUUUAAUGAUAAAAUAUUAUAUUUGAUAAUAUUUUUUGAGGAAUAUUAUUCUUUCCUACAAGUUCCCAAAAAAAAUGUUAUUGAUAUAUUAAGCUAAAAGAUUUUAUACACAUUAAUAGAUUGUUUGUUGAAAUAUGGUUUGAAUUUCAGAAAUAUAUAGGGUUUGGGGUUCACGUUUAGGGUUUAGAGUUUAUGUUUUAGGGUUUAGAUUUGAAGGUUUAGGGUUUAGGGUUUAGAGUUGAUGUUUGGGGGUUUAGGGUUUAGAGUUGAUGUUUCAUGGUUUAGGGUUUAGAGUUGAUGAUUUAGGGUUUAGAGUUUAGGGUUUAGGGUUUACAUUUGAUCGUUUAGGGUUUAGAUUUGAAGGUUUCAUGGUUUAGGGUUUAGAGUUGAUGAUUUAGGGUUUAUAGUUGGUGUUUUAAGUUUAGAUUAAACUUAUGUUUUUUUGUCAUAGUUAAUUCAAGGGUUAUAAAUGUCUUUUACCCUUCAUUAAAGAUUAUGGUAAAAUUGAUGAAUAUAAACAUGAAAAGUGGUACUUUGAAAAUGGUAUUUUUGGCAAUUUCCUAAUAUUAUAUUUGAUAGUAUUUUAUAUAUUAAGUUAAAAGAUUUUAUACACACUAAUAGAUUGUUUGUUGAAAUAUUUAUUUACAUGUUCUAUUAUUUAUGACAUAUUUAUAAUAUCAAUUUAAGGUACUGAAUUUUAUUUUUAAAUAUUUUAAACUUAAUAAAUUUUUUCAUUAUUAUUUUUAAUAAAGAUAUAAAUUGUGUUUAGUUUAGUCUUUAUAAAAAAACUCUAAACUGCAAAACAAUAAUAUUCUCAAAAAAAUAUUAUAUAAAUUUUUAAUAGUUGGUACGUUUUAAAAAAAAAAUCUGUUAAAUAGUUUUUAGGAUAAUAAAUUAGUGAUGUGUUUUAAAAAGGAAAUUAUAAAGAAGAAAAUAUACAUGAUUUUAACUGUUUUUUAGUUUUGGAAUAUUUUUCUAAAUUAAUUGUUUAGUUCAUAUUAAUUAAUUAUGAUAUGCAUAAAAUAUGAGUGACAUGUAAUUAUAAUUAUUACAAAAUCAAAGACAAAAUUUUAUGAGGGGUUUUGUUUUAAUAGUGUAGAAGAUAUAAAAAAUGGUCAAAUAAAAAUAAUGAUUUAUUUCUUUUAUAAAAUACCAAUGCAAAUGAAUACAUAAUAAAAAUAGUAUAAUGUCAUAAAUACAAGGUAAGUUAAAACCAAAAUAGAUUUAAAUAAACAUGAAAGCUUUAAACCAAAUAAAUAAUAUCUUCGCACACACUCGAGAAGUAAAACGUUUGGCUACUUCGUACACUCACGAAUAUGGUUAAUUAUUGACUUGCUUUAACAUGAUCAAUGAGAGGCUCUGUACCUCCCGCAUACUGUACAGAUUCAACUACAUUAGCAUAUUAUACUUUUGUUGUCAAACCAAAUAAACACUUCACAUGAGGACUGAAAUAUUUAAAUGUACAUUGUGGGAACAAACAUCCACCUCUAAAAUUAUUCACGAACACUUCAAUUUUAUAAUAAGUUAUCUUGAGAAAAUAGUUUAUUCAGAUCCGAGCGAUGCUAGACCAUGAUUAAUAAUUCACUUACUAGAUGCAGUAUCAUUUUGAAAAUAAAGUAUUAAACCAAUAUGUCCCAAAUGAAGUCUCUAAAAGAUUGCCACAUCCAUGAUAUGACCAAAGUAUGCGAGGAUUGUUACUACUUUAAGAGAAUGAAAGAAAUUUUUAAUUUCGUUUAAACAAGAUAAUCACAAAACAACACGCAUUACAUGUUUCCCUUUUGGAACAUCGACUUUACUUUAUGUUUUAAGUUCAGCAAUAUUUACUUUGUGUAACUAUAAACUAUUUAUUCUAUUCUUAUUGAAUUGAUCAAUGAAACCACUUAUGCUAUUACUUUUUGAUCUAAACAGCUUCAAAACAAAGUAAUACACUACUGUCACUUACCAAUAUCAUAUGGAUCAAAAAUAAUAAAACAUACGAACCCGGCGCGUAGCGCCGGAAUACCACUAGUUAACAAUAUGAUGCUGAAGUUGUAUGCUUUCAUUAAUGUAUUUAAUAAAUUAAUUAGUAUAUCAAUAAAUGAUUCAUAUAUAAAAUUAUUCUAUUUUCUAGCUGAUAUAAAUAUAAUUAUAUAUAUAUAUAUUAAUUUUAAUUUUGUUACUGAAAAUAAUGAAUAACAUUUAAUUAUAUUUAAAUUUUGAAAUAAUUUUUAAAAGAGUUCAAAUAUUUAUCUCUAAUUUUUUUUUGAAAAAAAUAUAAAUAUAACUUUUAUAUAAAUUAAUUGUAUAUAAUUAUUUUAACACUUUAUAAAUUUUUAAUGCAAAUACUCUACUAAAAAUUUUAUAUGAGAAUGUUGAACAAAAAAUACUUAAAUAGCAUUUGCAUCUUCUGAAUAUUUUUCUAAUAAUUGUUGAUUGGAUAAUAAAAAGCAUAAUACUUUUACAACUGCUUUGACAAUCAAACCUUAAUACAAACAAUAAAAACGAAAUCAGCAUAUCCAUUUACACGAACAAUUAAUUCCUUGGGGAGAUGACCAUGAACCACACCAAAACUCCUUUGAACAAAACAGCAUAUCCAUUUCCUUUCGUAUCAUCAUUAUGGUUAUAUACAGACAGUAUAUAGAUGACUUUUGUUUUCUUUUAAGCCAAACUCGUCCACAAGAAUAUCUAGUGGUCUAGUGGGCUAGUGGGCUAGUGGCCAUGUGGAGAAACCAAGAUUUAUAUUCUACGUACUUCAACAUUUAAGCAACUUUUCGAAAGACCUUCCGAUCACUUUUCGUCCAUGGCUUCCUAUUAUUCAUUGUCUAUUCUUGAUAUGCUGUUCAUAUAGUCAUAUGUUUCAUUCAUACUACUAUAUCUAAUGUCUUAACUACACAAAUUAAAGAUCAAACUCAGUUGAUCAAAAACAUGUAGCUACAUUUUAACUAUACAAUUCAAAACAAAUUCAAUAUAUUUUGCAAUAUAUAUGAAAUCGACUUAAAAAAUAAAUCAGCCCAUAGCACGUAUGGUUUCGUUUUCAUAUUAAUUUUCAGUUAUACAAAAUGUGGAGUGAAAUAAAUUACUCUUGUAACUUAUUGUUCAAAUCAUGUUAUAUGUUAUUAUCGGUUACCAAAGGCAACUGCAAAGAAACUGGCGAGUACGGUAGCUCAAUUUUGGUGGAGUCCUGGAGGAAUCACAAAAGGCAUGCACUGGAAAUUGUGGGAUAAAUUAUGUAUAAACAAAGACGAAUGAGGUCUAGGCGUUAAAGAUUUUACGGAUUUUAAUACGGCUAUACUUGGAAAACAAUUAUGGCGUAUGAUAUAGAAGCGAAAUACUUUAUUUUCUCUAGUUUUCAAAGGACGGUACUACAUGAAUGCUUCACCUUUAGAACCGAUCCGUUCAUAUUCCCUGUCAUACGUCAUACGACUGGAGAAGCAUUGUCUCUGCUAGAUCUCUGGUUAACAAAGGAUUAAUUAAAAGGGUGGGAACAGGUUCAUCUAUAUUUGUAUAGAAUGACCCAUGGCUCCCAACCACUCGCCCGAGAUCAACAAAUAAAAACCAACAAAACACUUACCCGGACCUUACAGUGGAUUCUCUCAUUAAUUCAGCCUCGCGAACAUGGAACUUGCAGGCGAUUCGGGCUUUGGUGGAUCCCUAGGACGUAAACAUUAUCGAAAGUAUACCAUUGAGUAGGACUCAGUUGGUGGACAGGGAUUGAUAACAUUUCACUAAUAAUGGAAAAUAUACUGUCUACCAAUUAGAACGGGUUUACCCGGAUAAGGAAAAAAUACUAGAAAUUUUUGGACCCAAUGUGUAUAUACUAAAAACGUUUUGCUGGAAGGUGCAGUGUCCACCGAAGAUAAAACAAUUCUUAUGGCAAAUGGUUUCAGGGUGCAUAGCUGUUAAGAAAAACCUGAAAGCGCGAGGGAUACAAAGGGACAUAUCUUGUGAUAGAUGUGGAGAUUCAGAAAAGUCAAUAAAUCAUUUGUUUUUUAAUGUCCUCCAACGAGUCAAGUUUGGGCGCUCUCAAAGAUACCAUCAAACCCGACUAAUUUUCCCCCCAGUUCUAUCUUCACAAACAUGGAUCAUCUUUUUUUUAGAGUUCUCCCAAACAUAGACGAUCAUCAAUUUGCAUGGAUAUUAUGGUACAUUUGGAAAGGGAGGAACAACAAAGUGUUUAGUAAUAUUGACAUUGAUCCCAGAGAAACACUCAAAUUAGCACAAACAGAGUUAAUACUUUGGGCUGAAGCACAACUGCUGAACAUAAAUCGGGCAAAACAACUGGUUGAGGUUAGGAAUCUACAAUCCAUCCCAGGGCGGUGGUACUUUACAUAUAGGUCGUGGAAAGACAAGGACCCUUACUCUGGACAAGGUUGAUAUAGCACCUUAGAGGGUUUUGAUUGAUUGAUGGGGGCAAGAAAUGUUAGGGCAACUCUAUCACCUCUUCAUGCGAAGGUGGAAGCACUAAUAUGGGCAAUGGAAUGUAUAAGGAAUUUGCGUCAGUUUCAGAUCAUGUUUGCAACGGAUUGUUCUCAUUUGGUGAAGAUCGUUUCGGAACCAUAAGAAUGACCAGCGUUUGAAAUGUAUCUGGAAGACAUUAAGAUUUUGAAAGCAAGUUUUGAGAUCAUUCAUGUACCUCGGACGGAAAAUUCAAGGGCGGAUAGUCUAGCACGCAAUGUCAGAAUACAACUGUCUUUCGUCGGUCACGUGGAUUUGGACGGAGAGUUACCACUUUGGUUCACAAAAUCAAUAUGAAUCUGUUUAUAUUGACACAAAAAAGAAAAAAAUUUAUUGUUCAAAAAAUAAUUACGUAAAACUCAAACCAAGUUAGCCAUAUAAAUCACACUAGUAACCUGUAAAAUGUUUCCCAUCACAUUAAACACGUCCGAAACAAAUCGCAUAUCUCAUUUUAUUCGACCGUAACGACUAUUUACGCACACGAAAAUGAGGUUAAAAAUUUGAUGGAGUUUUUGUGUUGAUGUUGUGCUGGACCACAUUAUCACGAGACAAGAUAUGUUCCACUUCCACCUCGUCCCUUGUCAGAGUUAUUAGGUGCAAAUUUUAACAACGAAACCAUUGUUCAUGUUAUAUAUAUCAAAUUCAAACAAUACUAAGCCCGUCAAGCUCAAAAGGAAGUAACAUAUCAAGUUAGAUGAACUUUAAACUUAAAUUUUUUAAUUUUACUCAAUUUCAAUAUUUUUCAUUUAAAAAAAAUUAAUAGGCUAAAUAAAUUAAAUAAAUCAUUUUAAUUAGCUAGUUUUUAAUAUAAUUUUAAAUUUUUUAAAUUUUUUUUCAAAAAGGAUCCGGAUAUCCGCGGGUAUUUAGAUUUUAGUCCGGAUAUCCUAACCCCGGAUAUCCAGAGAGGCCGAAUCCGGAUCCGGAUAGCAAUUUUACGGAUCCGGAUCUCUCAAAAUACCUCGGAUAUCCGAUUCGUCUCAGGGCUAACACUAUCAUGUGAAUACACAAAAGCAAUGUAAUUCCUUAUAUAUAUUAAUUGAGAAACAUUACAACAUUUUUUUGUAAUCGUUUGCCAUAACUAGGAUGUAUUUUUAGAAAAAUUAGUUGGUUCAUCUAAAUAUUUAUUAUAUUUUUUUACUAAACUAACUAUCAAAUUGAUUAGUAGUGUACAAAAUAAUAUUUUGCAUUAUAUUCUUAAAUAAAAACUACAGAAUUACCUAAUAUGAUUAAUAUAUAUAUAUAUAUAUGACAAUUUAUAAUUAUGAAUAAUAAAGAUUUGAUAACAAUUUUUGUAUCCUCCCUCAUAUUUGCUUAAUUUUAUAUGAUUUUUAAAAAAAAUAAACAAUCACAUUAACCAUAUAAUAAAAAUCUUAGAUUUUUCUUAUAUGUUAUAUUUUGAAUUUUUGAAAAGACUAUAAAUUAUUAAAAAUGUUAAAAGUCUCACAUUGAAAAUUUUGUAAUCAAUGGUUUAACCUUUUUUGUUAUAGCAGAUACAAAUGAUCAUAAAAUCUUAUCAAUAUGAAGUCUCAUUUAAUGGAUAUUCAUACUAAUAUAUAUAUAUAUAUAAUUUUAAUAUUGUUUAAAUUAAACUAUAUAUACCGUAUAAAAAUACAUAUAUAUAUAUAUAUGUUAAUUUCAAAAUUUGAAUUCAAAACGUAUUGAGACCUUAGUAUUUUAAUUUUGAAAUUUACAUUGAAAAAAUAUCAUAUUGAAAAUUUUGUGAUUAAUGAUUUAAAUUUUUUGUUACGGAAAAUAUACAAAUGUUAAUAAAUCAUAUGAGUAAGAACUCUCCGUAAUAAAUAUUUAUAUUAAAAUAUACUAUAUAUCUAUGUCAAUAUUACUGAAAUUUAAUUAUAUAUCAUAUAACAUGAAUAAAAUGAUUGUUUUGAUUUAUUUACUAGAAAUUGUAUUAUAAAUAAAUAAGAGGUAUUGUUUUGAAUUUAUGAAUUUAUUCUAAUUUAAUUAAUAUAUAAUACGUAAAUGAAUGCAACAUAAAUAAUAAUAUGUAAAAAUUAUUUAUAUACAUAGUGUUCAAACCUAUUACUUUAGUACACCGCUGGACAUUCACAGAUUUCACGAAACCAAACCAAAAGAAUCUGAUGUCGACGGAAAACAAAAGAAUGGGUCCCUUUUAAAAUUUCCUUAUUUUCGUCAAAUAUAGUACACAGGGAUUGUUUGUGUCACAUAAGGAAAUAUUGUACCCACUUGCAUAUAAAUAGAUAACAAAGGUGAUUAGAGAGCAUCUCCUGUCCAACUUGUGAACUCAUCAUGCACACUAGGAUCCGGUUUUUCUUUUCUUUUUUGAGGUUUAUUAAUAUUGAACCACAAUCAUCAUGUUUACACUGAGGAGCUAUGAGCUUUUACAUGGUGGUUGGCUGGUUGCAUAACAUGUUUAUAUCACUAUGUUUUUGUUUGUUAUACGUUUCUCCAGUAUUUUCCCUAAUAUAAAGAGUAACUUUUUAUUAAAUGUAACAUUGAGUUGUUUUUUUCUAAAGAGGCCUAUGGAUGGAAAAAAAUGUUAGUCAAUAGACUUGUUUGAACUCAGCUGAUUAUAAACCACAAGUGUGAUCCCUCUUAUGGCAAAACAGCACCUUUGUCUCACUCUUCUUACCAAACACUUAAACAAGCAAAAGGAAUCGUUUUUUCCUUCUUGUAACUUUUAUUUUUCACAAUUCCAUAAUUUAUCCUUUAUAAAAAGUGACUCUUGUGAGUCUCAACAUUUACAGCAAUUGACUCAGCAUUUUCAUUUACAACAUUCACCAAUGGAAAACUCAAACAUUGAUUCAGAAGUUUGGUUUCAGAACCAGAACCAAAACCAUUGCCUUAAGUUUCAUUCUUCUUGCUUUCCUCCAACCUCUCAAUCUGCUCUUUAUGGUAUUCAUCUUUUCCACCGUUCUUGAUUUUAGUUUUGUGGGUUUCCUCCAAUGCACCUUUUGUUUAGUUUUGACCUUUAACGAAUCUUCAUUGUCAAAUUGUAUCCACUCUGAGUUUAAAAAGUUCGAACAAAAAAAAAAAAAACUUUGAACAACUUCAUGUGACAUAGAAAGAUUCUCUUCUUAAUUUUCGUGUCAUUGUGGAUUAUUGAAUCAAAAUUUUGGUCACACAAUCUUCUUGAUUCAGGAUCUAGCUCAAUGAGCAAUACGGAGAUCAACACUGUGGACGAAGACGACGUCUGUGAGAGCUACAAGAUGCGUGAGACAACCAAGAAACGGAAGCUGACACCAAUCCAAUUGUGUUUACUAGAGGAGAGUUUCGAAGAAGAUAAACGACUCGAACCAGACAGGAAACUCUGGCUGGCCGAGAAGCUGGGUUUGCAGCCGACCCAAGUCGCUGUAUGGUUCCAAAAAAGAAGGGCUAGGUUCAAGACUAGACAGCUAGAGCUCGACUGUGACUCUCUUAAGGCUAGCUAUGCUAAGCUCAAAACUGAUAGGGACAUUCUCGUUCGACAAAACCAAGCCCUCGAGAACAAGGUACAUUUAUUCUUAAAAUGCGAAUUUUACAGAGACUAAGUUAAACAUUUUGAUGAAACACUCAAAAACAGGUUGCACUUCUCAAAGAGGAGCUGAAAAUACAAGAGAAACUCGAAACUCAGUCUAUGGAAGCCGAGAAGCUUGGGGAAGAAGGUAGCUCGAUGAAAAGCGAUAAUACGCAGUACACUGAAGAAGAAGAAGAAGAAGAAGAAGAAGGCUUGGGAAGUAAUCAAUACAGCUUCCCGGAGCUUGCAGCUCUCGGAUUCUACUAUGACCCAACGUUGAGUGCUUCAAAUCUAGGGUUGUGAGCUUGUAACACUGUAGGUCUACAUCCCGUGUGGCCCAAGAUAACUUAUCUGCUUCUUUAUUUUUCUUAGGGUUCAUAUUGAGGCGAAAAAAACGUUGAAUAUUUUCAUGGUUGGUAAUAAAAAUCUUAUAAAUAAAAUAUUAAUUUUCUUGCAAGUUAAACGUACGUUAUGUUAUAGCCAUGGUGUUAAAGUACUACGACCUUUCAUAGAACUCGACCGACAAUACCAUAUUUUUCAAUGGCUAGAGAAUCCAAAGGUUAGUGUGUAUUUUUUCAAAUGAUAUGAUGUGAUCAUUUAGGUAUCCAAAUGUAUAUACACUACGGUUGAUAACAUGUUAUAUGCUACAUUUCCAAAUAGUCAAUGAUUGAAAUAGUAGAAAGGAGAAUUGAUUCUAUCAUUUGAAAAGGACUAGCACUAUUUGAUUAAUGGUAAUAAAACAAAUUAGUUUGUGAAAUUGAAAAUAGACCGAGCUUGUCCUUGCGCCGGAAACAAGGAGAUACGAAACAUCAUCACCGCUAGAAGAGAGAGGAAGCAAUUCCUUAAACUCAUGGAAAAGUGGAUGCGCUGAACGUGGAAAUUAGUCCGGCUCAUCUUCAUUCGGGUUAUUAUCUUGUUUUUAGUUUUUUUUGCCAAGGUGUAACAUAAUUAGAUCUUUUUAAAGUCUAAAUUUUUAUUUAUAUGAUAUUUAUCUUUUAGCGAAAAAAAAUAGACAGAGCUCUUCUUAUCCGAAUCACGACCCAUGGCGAUGUUCAAAACUCAACACAAUCUUUUGAAUGGCCACGUGUGCGGAUCAGAUGACUCAGAUCCAGAUAUUACCGCCAUCCACGUCAGUGUGGGACCUUUUAGUACAAAACACAUAGAUUUUCUCUGCAUUAAUAAUAGUUCCAGUCUCGAAUUAAGGUCAGACAGUCGACACGUGGCAAAUUAUGUUUGGAAGUGCUGAAGCAUUGGAGUUUUGUGGGUCCAUCGAUAUGUCAUGUCUCUCUCAACUUCUCACACAUGUGGACAGUGGAGUUACUAUGUGGGCCUUCACCCGAUGUUAAGCCCAUUUAUCUUAAGCCCAAAAACACUAAUUAACUUUAGCCAGUUAGGUUCAAACUACGUCGUUUAGGUCACUGUGCUGAGCAUCAGAGACGGUCGAGUGAUGGCCGAACACGGUGGGAUAACUCCGGCUCCGGCCGAUGAAGAAGAACAAGUGUGGAGCUGGGGUGCAGGAACGGACGGCCAACUAGGGACUGCUAAGCUGCAAGACGAGCAUCUCCCGCAGCUUCUCUGGCUGACGUCACUUGCUUCCAUAUCGAUGCUCGCUUGUGGCGGCGCUCACGUCAUCGCCUUGACUUCUGGUAACCCCCCCUUCAAAUCUCCGAUUAAGUAUCUUCUGAUCCAACAUUUAAAGUAUGUUUUUUUUUUUUUAAUUUGCAGGUGGUAAGGUGUUGACAUGGGGAAGGGGAAACUCUGGUCAAUUAGGACAUGGGGACAUGCUCGACUCUUCUUUGCCAAAACCAGUAUCUUUCUUCGACGACUAUGUUGUAACUCAAGCCUCAGCUGGAUGGAGCCACUCUGGUUUUGUUUCAGGUAGGUAAACUUAACAUGGAGGCUUGAAACUGCUUAGGAGACAAAGAGAUUGAUCUCCCUUUUGUGUUUUUUGUGUUAGAUUCUGGUUGCCUAUUCACUUGUGGAAAUGGCUCAUUUGGUCAGCUUGGUCAUGGUGAUAACAUGUCACUUUGCUCUCCAGCUAAAGUCUCUUACUUUGCCGAUAAGAGCGUGAAGAUGGUAGCUUGUGGUAUGCGCCACUCACUUGUCUUGUUCGCAGGUAAAACAUCUGACACUGCAUUCACUAGCUCUUCAAUAAAAGUUUGUUUUCUCAUUUUUGAUUUAUCUUGUCUUCUUCAGGAAAUCAAGUGUGCGGAUUCGGAUCUGGGAAACGCGGACAGCUUGGUUUCUCAUCAGACAAAACUAAGACACUAAUUAAUCUUCCAUGUCUUGUCUCUGGAUUAGAAGAUGUUGAGAUUGUUCGUAUAGCAGCCAAUGGAGAUCAUAGUGCAGCUAUAACCGGUUAACUCUUUAAGUCUCAUGUUCAGUUUCAUUGAUUGAUCGAAUCAUGUGUGUGUUUUGUUAAACUCGUAUUGCGAUGUGCUUAACCAGCUAAUGGACAAAUGUUCAGUUGGGGAAGAGGUUUCUGCGGCAGUCCUGAUGUUCAAGCCCCUCAGUGUUUACCCUCAUCUCAAUUCUUCAGAGAAGUUGCUUUAGGAUGGAGUCAUGCUUUAUUACUAACCGGUAAUUUCUGUUUAGAUGCAUGAGUUAGCUUCUGAUAGCUCAUUGAACUCAUUCCUCUGCUCAUGGACUUUGUUGAACAGUCGAUGGAGAAGUUUUCAAGCUUGGUAACACCCUUAAUAAACAAUCCGAGAAGCAACAACUGCAAGUAGAUCCGUCUGAACCUUUUUUGGAGAAAGUUCCAGGUUUUGAUGGAGUUAAAGUUAUGCAAAUUGCAGCAGGAGCAGAGCAUUCUGCUGCUUUAACAGGUGGCAAUUCAUCUCUUUGUUCUCCAGACUUUCUGAGUUAUAAACAAACAAACCUGUGAAUAUACCUUGCAGAGAAUGGAGAAGUUCAGACAUGUGGAUGGGGUGAACAUGGUCAGCUAGGUGUUGGAAACACCAAUGAUCAGAACAAUCCUCAACUCGUAAGCCUAGGAAGUAUAGACCAGCGGACGAGAGAUACCAAAGUAUAUUGCGGAAGUGGAUUUACAUAUGUAGUUCGGCGAAUACAAAAGCUUUCUUCAUCAUAGAAAUGGAUGUAUCAUAUCUCUAAUGUGUGUAACAUUGUACAAUGUGAGAAGUCAAUUAUUGGCAUUAUUCUCGUCAAGAGGAAUAGUCAUUACAAUGAUGAAAAUUGAGAUAUACAGAUUUUUUUCGUUUUUUUAAGAUUAUAAAAAACCUACAGCUAGCUCUACUGCUUUUCCCUGGCUAACCUUGCUCUACUUGAAAGUGAAAUUACAAAAGUAAACUAAAACCCUACUGAUUCAGCUCAAUGAUCCAUGGAUGGUGGGAUUAGCAAUGACCUCACGAGAUGAUGAGCAGAUUGUUUUCAUAUCCAUCACAAGUAACAAUGGGUCUAAGCGGGUCCACUUUCCACUGGCCAUCAACUACAAACUUUAUCUGUGAAGAAAAUGUAGCGACUUUAAGAUUUGGUUUGUGGCUCAUAAACAUGUAUAAUAUUAGAUGCAGAUACUGUGUUUGAUUGAAUGAGCUAACCUGGUAUUUUCCAGGAUAUAGCUUCAGCGUCAAAGAGGAGACUCCGUUCUGUGCUUUCUUCAUUUUCCUCUGCUUCCAAAAUCAUAAAACAAAUUUAAGUAGAUGUGAAGGACUUUGUUUUAUCCUUUUUUUUUUCUUUUAUCGAUGUGAACUGACCUGGGUUGACCAACCGUCAAAUGAACCCGUUAGUAAAACUUCCGAGGCUGAGUUAGGCCAUACUAUGGAUGCAGUCCGGAGUAACCGUAAAGCUCUCCUAGCAUGAUCUAUUUUUCUCUGUUUCUCCCUUACAAUCCUCUGUGCGUCUCUAGAAGAGAAACAAGCUAGCCAAUGUGAGAGACAAUUAGCAUAAGCAUCCUACUCUUAUCUAUUUGCACAUAACCAAUGAGCAACGCAUACAUUAUAGCCAUAGACAUCUUUCCUUCAAGAACAGCUAGCUUUGCCCUUGUAGACCGUAGCUUGUUCUGGGCAUAUAUGAUUUCAUUCUCUUUGAACUCCCAAUCAUCAUUGAGGUUCUCCAAGUUUCCAGAUUUUAUCUCACUAUCCUACAUAAAAUCAUAAACCAAAAAUAAGUCAAAUGUUAAUCAUUUAUAGAAUCGCUACUAUUUUGAUCAGUCAAAUAGAGAGAGGAUUCUCGGUCCCAUCCGUUCAAACAAUCACACACGAAGAAAUGAAAACAUACGUUACCUUGCUUGUUCCAACUUCAUCAGGAGGAGGAGACCUAAGGGAUUGAAGAACAGAAGAAAGUUCUGACUGGAGAUUCUGAAGACGGCUUUUGAUAUGAGUCGUAUUUAUAUCUUCAGAGUAAGAUGCAGUUUUGUCUUUUCCGUUUGAAUCCUUAUUCGUAUCAUCCUUCUUUAGACCAACCAAGCUACUUGAAGAUAUUUCAGCAGCUGUACAAAUGUUAAUGGCUUUAGAUCUUUGUUUUACUGAAAUCAUUAUAUAUGGAAGAAGACAGAAAUCACUGGCAUACCUUCAAAAUCUUCAUCAGUAAAGCCAGCUCUCCUCAUACUCCAUGUUCUCCACGUUUCUGAUGUAGACGAAUUGUUUCCUGAAACUGGCUUGGCUUCUUGAUACCUACUUUGUCCAUAUUCACCUGAACUUCUACUAGCGUCGACAUCUUGAAACUCACUAGCUGUCUUUUGAGAAAAAAGGUAGGGAAACACCUCACGACAUAAACAGUUUAUUCUUAUGAAGUGAACAGCAAAGCUUAUAACAGACAAGAAAACAUACCACAAUAAUAGAAGAACGAGGAGGGGAACCAUUUAGGGUGAUAUCAUCAUACAUGGCACCAUUGCUUUCGCCUUUCCCACUCAAGUUUAUCCCUAGACUCAAAUUCCUUUCUUUCUCCAACCUGGUCAAUAUGCCUUCAAUCCCACUCUCAUUCUUACCAUCUACUUCUCUGAUAAAACAGAGCCUAUGUUAACUAACAUUCUCAAAAGGCAUAGAAUAAGAAGCAAUGUAAAUUUAGAGGACCCACUCUCUUGAAUAUGAGGCAUUCGAGGAAAGAUUACGAAGCUGUUUCUCAAUAGGCAAGUCCCCUAGCACGACGUUCUCUUUUACUCGGACCUCCUCUUCUUGUUGUUCAUCCAAGUCCCAUCCCAUUGAAAGCCAUCCACCUUGGUUUACGAUUCUCUCCACAAGAUCAAAUCUUUCAGAACGGAUUAAAUCCUUCUUGCUCGGAAACAUGCCAGGUUUAUCAGAAUUCUUCAUGAACUCCAAAAUCUCCGUUUCCAGAUCCUUAUCGCUAUCCCAUCCCAAAUCUUGGUUAUUGCACAUCCUCAGAACCCCACUACGCCUAAAGCAACAACCUUUCUUCCUCAGCUUGACCUCCAGAAACCAUUGAACAGGUCCACAACUUUUCCCAUCAGCUAAAAGACUCAAUUUCCCCGAACAAAUGGGAUUGAAGGAAGAAAAAGAGGAAAGAGGCAAAAGGGUAUCGGAAUCAAUCAGCGAAAGCCGUGGAGCAAAAGAAGAAACGGGGCCUGAGUUGAGAGAGACCAUCUUUGGAGCAUUUCGUCGAACAGUUUGUGUGCGCUCUCUAUCAAGCGGUCCUCAUAUCAAAGAGGAGAGAUGCUAAGAAGAAACCGUACUCGGAUUUGCCAAAUUCUCUGUGUUUCAAAUAAGGAAAUUCUCACAAAAGAAAAAACAAGAAAGUACGAGAAGAAGAAGAAGUCAUGUGACCGCACAAGAACCAAAGCUUUUCAAUCUGAAAAAACAUUAAAGGAGUAUGCUUUAUUCGGACGUUAAUCAAAUUCCAAAGAUCAAGUUGAGGUAAGUUUUCUUUAGAUUCUCAAUUUGUUUAUCCUUUUAUGGUUUUGUUUCAGGUUAUUUGGAAUACCACUUUCAAAGCAAGUGGCUUUUAGAAAAAAAAAAAAAAAAAAAAAUGGUGUAGUUGAUACAAUAUGUCCUUUGUUUUUUUGUUCUUGUUUUUUUGGCAACUUAAGUUGUUCUUCGUGUGAUAUGUUGAUGUUCAAAUGCUAUUGAAAUCAAAAUGUUCAUGUAUCGAUUUCAGGUUAAAUCUCUGAGUAAAAGAUAUUUUUUGGUUUUGUUGAUUUUUUAUUUAUUUAUAUAACUACGAAUGUGAAAUUGAUAGAUAGGGUAUGAAGGGUGUCGUAUUUCCUAACGUUCCUAAAGAAAAUUACCAUUUACAAUAAAUAAUUUUUUUUUCUCAUUCCCUACCAUUCUUUUUUUUUAGAGAAAUAAAUAACAAAAUUAUUCAUUGUUAAAUGCGAGAUGAAACAACUAUUCCUUUAAUUCUUCCAAUUUUAUUCAUCCACAUUAUUUGUUUCAUCUGGUCAACAAUUGACAUUUAAGCUCUUCAACCCAAAUAAGAAGUAAGCUCACAAAGACAUGAAGCUAGGCUUUAAUGCAAGACUUAUUCUUGGGUUUACCCACCCCCUAGGUGAAUUUCUAGGUUUACCAACCAAUAGAAUUGUAUUAUUUCAUAUUCGAUAUAUUUAAAAAAAAACAAAAUACUAUCAAACUAUAUUAUGUUUUUAAAAUAAAAAGAUAAAAAUAAUUAAUAAAAAUACUAGUAGUUAUAAAAAAAUAUUUUUAACGUCGUUAGCAAAACACUAAAUCCUAAACCCUAAAUCCUAAACCCUUGGAUAAAUCCUAAACUCUAAAUCAAAAACACUAAACACUAAAACACUCAAGGGUUUAUGAUUUGAAAAGGACUAGCACUAUUUGAUUUAUGAUAAUACAACAAAUUAGUUUGUGAAAUUGAAAAUAGACAACUCUUCUUAUCCGAAUCACGACCCAUGGCCAUGUUCAAAACUCAGCACAAUCUUUUGAAUGGCCACGUGUGCGGAUCAGAUGACUCAGAUCCAGAUAUUACCGCCAUCCACGUCAGUGUGGGACCUUUUAGUACAAAACACAUAGAUUUUCUCUGCAUUAAUAAUAGUUCCAGUCUCGAAUUAAGGUCAGACAGUCGACACGUGGCAAAUUAUGUUUGGAAGUGCUGAAGCAUUGGAGUUUUGUGGGUCCAUCGAUAUGUCAUGUCUCUCUCAACUUCUCACACAUGUGGACAGUGGAGUUACUAUGUGGGCCUUCAUCCGAUGUUAAGCCCAUUUAUCUUAAGCCCAAAAACACUAAUUAACUUUAGCCAGUUAGGUUCAAACUACGUCGUUUAGGUCACUGUGCUGAGCAUCAGAGACGGUCGAGUGAUGGCCGAACACGGUGGGAUAACUCCGGCUCCGGCCGAUGAAGAAGAACAAGUGUGGAGCUGGGGCGCAGGAACGGACGGCCAACUAGGGACUGCUAAGCUGAAAGACGAGCAUAUCCCGCAGCUUCUCUCGCUGACGUCACUUGCUUCCAUAUCCAUGCUCGCAUGUGGCGGCGCUCACGUCAUUGCCUUGACUUCUGGUAACCCUCCCUUCAAAUCUUCGAUUAAGUAUUCUUCUGAUCCGACAUUUAAAGUAUGUUUUUUUUUUUAAUUUGCAGGUGGUAAGGUGUUGACAUGGGGAAGGGGAAACUCUGGUCAAUUAGGACAUGGGGACAUGCUCGACUCUUCUUUGCCAAAACCAGUAUCUUUCUUCGACGACUAUGUUGUAACUCAAGCCUCAGCUGGAUGGAGCCACUCUGGUUUUGUUUCAGGUAGGUAAACUUAACAUGGAGGCUUGAAACUGCUUAGGAGACAAAGAGAUUGAUCUCCCUUUUGUGUUUUUUGUGUUAGAUUCUGGUUGCCUAUUCACUUGUGGAAAUGGCUCAUUUGGUCAGCUUGGUCAUGGUGAUAACAUGUCACUUUGCUCUCCAGCUAAAGUCUCUUACUUUGCCGAUAAGAGCGUGAAGAUGGUAGCUUGUGGUAUGCGCCACUCACUUGUCUUGUUCGCAGGUAAAACAUCUGACACUGCAUUCACUAGCUCUUCAAUAAAAGUUUGUUUUCUCAUUUUUGAUUUAUCUUGUCUUCUUCAGGAAAUCAAGUGUGCGGAUUCGGAUCUGGGAAACGCGGACAGCUUGGUUUCUCAUCAGACAAAACUAAGACACUAAUUAAUCUUCCAUGUCUUGUCUCUGGAUUAGAAGAUGUUGAGAUUGUUCGUAUAGCAGCCAAUGGAGAUCAUAGUGCAGCUAUAACCGGUUAACUCUUUAAGUCUCAUGUUCAGUUUCAUUGAUUGAUCGAAUCAUGUGUGUGUUUUGUUAAACUCGUAUUGCGAUGUGCUUAACCAGCUAAUGGACAAAUGUUCAGUUGGGGAAGAGGUUUCUGCGGCAGUCCUGAUGUUCAAGCCCCUCAGUGUUUACCCUCAUCUCAAUUCUUCAGAGAAGUUGCUUUAGGAUGGAGUCAUGCUUUAUUACUAACCGGUAAUUUCUGUUUAGAUGCAUGAGUUAGCUUCUGAUAGCUCAUUGAACUCAUUCCUCUGCUCAUGGACUUUGUUGAACAGUCGAUGGAGAAGUUUUCAAGCUUGGUAACACCCUUAAUAAACAAUCCGAGAAGCAACAACUGCAAGUAGAUCCGUCUGAACCUUUUUUGGAGAAAGUUCCAGGUUUUGAUGGAGUUAAAGUUAUGCAAAUUGCAGCAGGAGCAGAGCAUUCUGCUGCUUUAACAGGUGGCAAUUCAUCUCUUUGUUCUCCAGACUUUCUGAGUUAUAAACAAACAAACCUGUGAAUAUACCUUGCAGAGAAUGGAGAAGUUCAGACAUGUGGAUGGGGUGAACAUGGUCAGCUAGGUGUUGGAAACACCAAUGAUCAGAACAAUCCUCAACUCGUAAGCCUAGGAAGUAUAGACCAGCGGACGAGAGAUACCAAAGUAUAUUGCGGAAGUGGAUUUACAUAUGUAGUUCGGCGAAUACAAAAGCUUUCUUCAUCAUAGAAAUGGAUGUAUCAUAUCUCUAAUGUGUGUAACAUUGUACAAUGUGAGAAGUCAAUUAUUGGCAUUAUUCUCGUCAAGAGGAAUAGUCAUUACAAUGAUGAAAAUUGAGAUAUACAGAUUUUUUUCGUUUUUUUAAGAUUAUAAAAAACCUACAGCUAGCUCUACUGCUUUUCCCUGGCUAACCUUGCUCUACUUGAAAGUGAAAUUACAAAAGUAAACUAAAACCCUACUGAUUCAGCUCAAUGAUCCAUGGAUGGUGGGAUUAGCAAUGACCUCACGAGAUGAUGAGCAGAUUGUUUUCAUAUCCAUCACAAGUAACAAUGGGUCUAAGCGGGUCCACUUUCCACUGGCCAUCAACUAUGAACUUUAUCUGUGAAGAAAAUGUAGCGACUUUAAGAUUUGGUUUGUGGCUCAUAAACAUGUAUAAUAUUAGAUGCAGAUACUGUGUUUGAUUGAAUGAGCUAACCUGGUAUUUUCCAGGAUAUAGCUUCAGCGUCAAAGAGGAGACUCCGUUCUGUGCUUUCUUCAUUUUCCUCUGCUUCCAAAAUCAUAAAACAAAUUUAAGUAGAUGUGAAGGACUUUGUUUUAUCCUUUUUUUUUUCUUUUAUCGAUGUGAACUGACCUGGGUUGACCAACCGUCAAAUGAACCCGUUAGUAAAACUUCCGAGGCUGAGUUAGGCCAUACUAUGGAUGCAGUCCGGAGUAACCGUAAAGCUCUCCUAGCAUGAUCUAUUUUUCUCUGUUUCUCCCUUACAAUCCUCUGUGCAUCUCUAGAAGAGAAACAAGCUAGCCAAUGUGAGAGACAAUUAGCAUAAGCAUCCUACUCUUAUCUAUUUGCACAUAACCAAUGAGCAACGCAUACAUUAUAGCCAUAGACAUCUUUCCUUCAAGAACAGCUAGCUUUGCCCUUGUAGACCGUAGCUUGUUCUGGGCAUAUAUGAUUUCAUUCUCUUUGAACUCCCAAUCAUCAUUGAGGUUCUCCAAGUUUCCAGAUUUUAUCUCACUAUCCUACAUAAAAUCAUAAACCAAAAAUAAGUCAAAUGUUAAUCAUUUAUAGAAUCGCUACUAUUUUGAUCAGUCAAAUAGAGAGAGGAUUCUCGGUCCCAUCCGUUCAAACAAUCACACACGAAGAAAUGAAAACAUACGUUACCUUGCUUGUUCCAACUUCAUCAGGAGGAGGAGACCUAAGGGAUUGAAGAACAGAAGAAAGUUCUGACUGGAGAUUCUGAAGACGGCUUUUGAUAUGAGUCGUAUUUAUAUCUUCAGAGUAAGAUGCAGUUUUGUCUUUUCCGUUUGAAUCCUUAUUCGUAUCAUCCUUCUUUAGACCAACCAAGCUACUUGAAGAUAUUUCAGCAGCUGUACAAAUGUUAAUGGCUUUAGAUCUUUGUUUUACUGAAAUCAUUAUAUAUGGAAGAAGACAGAAAUCACUGGCAUACCUUCAAAAUCUUCAUCAGUAAAGCCAGCUCUCCUCAUACUCCAUGUUCUCCACGUUUCUGAUGUAGACGAAUUGUUUCCUGAAACUGGCUUGGCUUCUUGAUACCUACUUUGUCCAUAUUCACCUGAACUUCUACUAGCGUCGACAUCUUGAAACUCACUAGCUGUCUUUUGAGAAAAAAGGUAGGGAAACACCUCACGACAUAAACAGUUUAUUCUUAUGAAGUGAACAGCAAAGCUUAUAACAGACAAGAAAACAUACCACAAUAAUAGAAGAACGAGGAGGGGAACCAUUUAGGGUGAUAUCAUCAUACAUGGCACCAUUGCUUUCGCCUUUCCCACUCAAGUUUAUCCCUAGACUCAAAUUCCUUUCUUUCUCCAACCUGGUCAAUAUGCCUUCAAUCCCACUCUCAUUCUUACCAUCUACUUCUCUGAUAAAACAGAGCCUAUGUUAACUAACAUUCUCAAAAGGCAUAGAAUAAGAAGCAAUGUAAAUUUAGAGGACCCACUCUCUUGAAUAUGAGGCAUUCGAGGAAAGAUUACGAAGCUGUUUCUCAAUAGGCAAGUCCCCUAGCACGACGUUCUCUUUUACUCGGACCUCCUCUUCUUGUUGUUCAUCCAAGUCCCAUCCCAUUGAAAGCCAUCCACCUUGGUUUACGAUUCUCUCCACAAGAUCAAAUCUUUCAGAACGGAUUAAAUCCUUCUUGCUCGGAAACAUGCCAGGUUUAUCAGAAUUCUUCAUGAACUCCAAAAUCUCCGUUUCCAGAUCCUUAUCGCUAUCCCAUCCCAAAUCUUGGUUAUUGCACAUCCUCAGAACCCCACUACGCCUAAAGCAACAACCUUUCUUCCUCAGCUUGACCUCCAGAAACCAUUGAACAGGUCCACAACUUUUCCCAUCAGCUAAAAGACUCAAUUUCCCCGAACAAAUGGGAUUGAAGGAAGAAAAAGAGGAAAGAGGCAAAAGGGUAUCGGAAUCAAUCAGCGAAAGCCGUGGAGCAAAAGAAGAAACGGGGCCUGAGUUGAGAGAGACCAUCUUUGGAGCAUUUCGUCGAACAGUUUGUGUGCGCUCUCUAUCAAGCGGUCCUCAUAUCAAAGAGGAGAGAUGCUAAGAAGAAACCGUACUCGGAUUUGCCAAAUUCUCUGUGUUUCAAAUAAGGAAAUUCUCACAAAAGAAAAAACAAGAAAGUACGAGAAGAAGAAGAAGUCAUGUGACCGCACAAGAACCAAAGCUUUUCAAUCUGAAAAAACAUUAAAGGAGUAUGCUUUAUUCGGACGUUAAUCAAAUUCCAAAGAUCAAGUUGAGGUAAAGUUUCUUUAGAUUCUCAAUUUGUUUAUCCUUUUAUGGUUUUGUUUCAGGUUAUUUGGAAUACCACUUUCAAAGCAAGUGGCUUUUAGAAAAAAAAAAAAAAAAAAAGGCAAAAACUCUGUUUUCUCCACAGCCUCUCAUAGACCAUGAGCUCACGUCUCGGUCUAUUUGGAUGAACAUGUAAAAGCCAUGUUCUGACUAUCUGAAAUGGCUCUCAUGGAGAGAAAAGGGAUCAUAUUGAUUGAUGGCUACAAAAGAAAAACAGAAGUUCAUAACAUAACACCAAAGAGUAAUUGACAAAAGUUCCAAACCCAAACAAGGACAUGCACCCAAAAGUCAACAAGGCAGAAAGGCUAAGACGCAACAGUUACGUUUGAGUCUUGGUUGUUGUUGUUGUUGUAUGAAUGGCCGUUUCCUCCACCACCACCACGUCCCCUUCCUCUGUUGUUGUAGUGGCUCCUUUGGUAACCGUUUCCACCCGAAUUGUCAUAAGAUUCAUACCUCCCAUUCGAGUAUCCUCCACCACCACCUCGACCUCCCCGGGGGGCGUUGGAAUGACCUCUUCUAGCACCUCUAUGACCUCUCUGGUUCUGGUGGGUUCCACGUGGUACAUACUGUUGCUGAUAAUCUCUCUUUGACCUCCCUCCUUCCACCUGAGUAUAUCCUUGUUCCUGCUGUCCUUGGACCAACUCUCCUUCCGUCACUGACUCAUCCUUCAAACCCCAAAUAUAUAAAAAAAAAAAAAUCAACAAAUUCAGCCUAGAGCAAUCGAUUUAUAAAGAUGCUUUUAAAAGCUCCACAUUUCACUGGAUUACCUUUGGUUGCUCAGAUUGAUCAUUAACAGCAGGUUCUUGUUCUUUAAUGUUUGAUGCGUCUUCUUCCUGCAACCAGAUGAACAUCAGUCCCACGGAAAGAAAGAGAACAAUGGAUACACAAGCGAAGGAUGUAUGUUCUCUACAUCACAUAACUAGACACUCAAGAGAAACAUGUCUUAAACAUUCGCCACAGUGAAGAAAAAUACUGUCACGGUUAUUAAUCACUACUCACAUGAAUAAACCAGAAUAUAUUAACAACUCGUAGAGCAGAGUUCUCAAAGACCAUAAAAUUAAUGUAACAAUCAACUUAACAAUGUACUUCUCUAUCCUGAUCACACAAAGCACAAGCCUAGAGCCUAGACAAACUCUGACUCCUACACAAAAGAAACUCGAUCUGGGAUCACUAGUCUCCUCCUUGGGAUCAAAUUAGAGCUUAGCAUCUCAUAACAGAAAGAACAACAUGCAUUCGACCUAUGAAAUUCACUAACAAUUUGAUAACAAACAAAGAACUAGCAAUAAGCAGUUUAGCUUUGAAAAGAAUGUGUUAUGAAACAAAACAGCAAUGCAACCUAAAAAAAAGUCACACACAAACGAAGAAAGAGAAUUCAGAUGAUCAAAGCAUUUCAAUGAUAACCACUGAGAGCUCCCUCUCCAACUCAAAACCUAACCUAAAAAGGUGAAUACCUACCUUUUGCUCAGUGUCAGCAGCGACUUGGAAAGCACCGUAGUUACCAGCAGCAGCUGCAGACGCUGCUUCAACAGGAGCAACCAUCUCAGGAGUAAUAGUGAAGUAAUUAGAACCCAUAAUCUUCUUCAACUUCUCUCUCAGUCCAGCAUCUGAAACACCACAAAUCCCAAUAAGUAAAAACUAAAACAAACACGUAGCAAAAGAAGCAAACUAACUUUUGGAUUUUUCUUACAUGAAACAUUGCAGUUGGAAGCAAUCGGCUGGUUCGAGUUAGCCAACCAAAGCUUAGCAUGCUCGACGCAACGCUCCAAAGCGUUCUUGUGAGACAAGAACGAAUCCGCAGGCCUGGAUACCAUCAUAGUCCACAGCUCGGAAAUCAAAUCCAGAUCCUUAUCACAUAGCAGAUCCGUGGACUCAUCCGUAACCGUAUCGUAAACCAAACAGCAACCUCUCUCGUGCGUCCUCGUCAGCAUAAUCGAAGCCAACUCGUUCUGCGACUUCACGUCGAAGAGCGAGCCAAAGUACAAGAGAUUCACCAAAUCCUCCAACUUCUUCGCUUCUUCCUCCUCGGGAGCGUCAGCUACUUCGUUUUGAUCGGGGGGAGCUUGAUUGUGGUGGUGGAGGUGGUGAGUAGUGGCCAGGGUGAUUUCUUCGGAGACGGCGGCGGAGAGAGGAGCGCGGAGCUUGUCGAGCUCUUCGAUGAGGACGAGGACGGACGGUUUGGAGCGGAGGACUUCUUGUUGCUCCUUGUUUAGGGUUUUCCCCUGAGAGAUCGAUUCUUCCAUUUGAGUGAUUCGGUUGAGUUUCUUGCGGAGGGCGCGGAGACGCUUGUUGAUGAGUCCCAUCACUGGUCCUUCGCUGGCGUCUGAGGAAGAUGUCGCUGUCGCUGUCGCAGUAGCGGUAGGUGCCAUGGUGUUGGAUUUGUGUAGGAGAUCGAUUUAAUCGGCGGAGAAAGUGACCACCGUUGAACAGCGGCGGUGAAGAAAUGAGAGAGAAGAGGAAGAGGAAGAGGAUGAUUAGGGUUUUUCUGAGAGAUGUAAGUGACUGCUAUGUGUUCUUAAAUAUAUUGGAUAAUUGAUACUGAAAAAGAUAAAAUCAAUGAACCGAAAUUACUCCCUUAAUUUCUAAACUAUUUUUUCGCGGAUUAGAUUUUUAAAAAAUUAUUAUGUAUCAAUUUAGGUGGUUCUUGGAAAUAACAUACGAAAGUUUAACAAAAUUUAUUUCUUACAGAUGAAGAUACACUUUCUUUUCCUCUUAUUUUUCUUCUUUUCUCCAAAGAGAGUAUUUUAAUCAAGUAUAUGAGAAAAUAAGAUAUUUGUAUAGUGGAUAAUGCCAUUAGCAUUUUUGAAUGAUUGUUGUGGAAAUACUUGCUUCUCCGGCUUUUAGCUGAUUUUUUAGUACAAUAUGCAUACGGUCAUGCAUUCGAUUGUUUUUUAUUGUACAAUUUAAUUUUUCAGGGUAGUGAUGCUCGCAUUUGACUUCAUGGUUGAGCAUUUGUAUUUCUCUGGAGUCUUGUGUGUUGGGGGUUGUUGUAGGAAAUCAAUGGAAAUUCAGCCGACAUGAAUUAACAUUUCUGGUACAGCGUAACAUGAUGUUCUAACGUUUACACAUACUCCAAUUUUUCAAGAUACUCCUUUUCAUUUACCAGUAAGUACUAAGUAGUAACUAUGAUUUAUUGUACAUAGGAAAAACAAAACAAUACUCGUUCCUGUCGAAUGCAUGCUCCUACAAAUAACAAUCCAAAUGCUCGUUUACAAAAUGAAAUCGUUUAUUUACAACAAGAAAAACGAACAACUUGGUCUAUAUUCACCAAAAAGAAUGUAUAAGCAUUUUUUUCUAUUAUCAAAACUCUAUACUGCAUUUUUUCACAUAUCAACUCAUACUGUAGAGCAAGCAAUGCUCAUGGUGCGACGUCUUUUAUCUCCGUUACCAAGAGUCUCGUACCAUCUACCAAUCUUAUUGUCUUAUAGACCUUUUAUAAGGUUCAUAUCAUAAUGCUCCACCAAAACACUCACCACACGAGAAGACAAUCACUGGUCUAGAGGCUAGCACUGGAGGGUACCAAAAUGACAUGCAGUGUUCCAUUGUUAGGAGGAAGUUGCAAACGAAGGGGAAACAGCUUGCCGUUUAAUGGACUGCGAGUGCACACCACAGCGUCCUCCAUGCACGUUUCUUCUCGCAACGUCUGAGUCAGCUCCGCCACGCUGUUCCCUUUAAACGUGAAAGCAUAUCCAACGCUCGAUUCAUCCUCCACGUGUCCUUCAUCGUCAGCGAUGUGGUAGUAUAUCGUUCUCCCAUCCGAUUUCGGUGGAGACACAACCGACUGGUCAAAACCAAAGUUCAUGUCAGGAGGGUAAUUAUAAACAAAAUUUGAGGGUAUUUCAGUAAUUAGCAAUAGUAACUCACAUCUUGUUCGGAUCUCUCUGAAAGAGAAGACGGAGUCCUCGAUGGCCUCCUAUGCGGUGGUGGCUGCGUCUUCACCGGCGGAGGCUGCGUCUUCGGUGACGGAGUGAACUCAGUCUCCGCCGUGACUUGAGGAUUAACCAAGAUCUCAACAACAUCAACCUCCCACGAGAUGGAAUCCUGAGUAGCCGACAAAUGAGGAUUGUCGUGCGUCACCGAGUUUCUCCACGGCGGAAGACCACCGUUACCUCGUAGAUAGUUACCGUAUCUCGUCCUGAGCUUAAUCUUGGAUCCUUCUCUAACUGGUUCCCACUCAACAGACGAGUCGAGACGACUCGGUUUUAGCUGAAUCACUUUCUUCCCGGUAGCUCCGAGCAAGAACCGCUCGUUCGAAGCGGUUAGGUAUUUACCGUAACAGCUUUUGAGACGGAUCACGUGGUACGAAUCGCGAACCGGUUCGACGGUCCAUCGAGCGCUUUUGUUUGAUCCGUUUCGGGCUUGUGUCCGUGGCAAGUGGCUUUUUAAAACUAAAAAAGGGUCGAAAAACUCUUUUAUCCAAAGACUCUCAUCGACCAUGAGCUCACGUCUCAGUUAGUGCUGUUUGGAUGAGAACACCUAAACCCAUAUUUGACUAUCUGAAAUGGCUCUCAUGGAGAGAAAAGGGAUCAUAUUGAUUGAUGGCUACAAAAGAAAAACAGAAGUUCAUAACACCAAAGAGCACUUGACAAAAGUUCGAAACCCAAACAAGGACACGCACCCAAAAGUCAACAAGGCAGAAAAGCUAAGACGCAACAGUUACGUUUGAGUCUUGGUUGUUGUUGUUGUUGUAUGAAUGGCCGUUUCCUCCACCACCACCACGUCCCCUUCCUCUGUUGUUGUAGUGGCUCCUUUGGUAACCGUUUCCACCCGAAUUGUCAUAAGAUUCAUACCUCCCAUUCGAGUAUCCUCCACCACCACCACCUCGACCUCCCCGGGGGGCAUUGGAAUGACCUCUUCUAGCACCUCUAUGACCUCUCUGGUUCUGGUGGGUUCCACGAGGUACAUACUGUUGCUGAUAAUCUCUCUUUGACCUCCCUCCUUCCACCUGAGUAUAUCCUUGUUCCUGCUGUCCUUGGACCAACUCUCCUUCCGUCACUGACUCAUCCUUCAAACCCCAAAUAUAUAAAAAAAAAAAAAUCAACAAAUUCAGCCUAGAGCAAUCGAUUUAUAAAGAUGCUUUUAAAAGCUCCACAUUUCACUGGAUUACCUUUGGUUGCUCAGAUUGAUCAUUAACAGCAGGUUCUUGUUCUUUAAUGUUUGAUGCGUCUUCUUCCUGCAACCAGAUGAACAUCAGUCCCACGGAAAGAAAGAGAACAAUGGAUACACAAGCGAAGGAUGUAUGUUCUCUACAUCACAUAACUAGACACUCAAGAGAAACAUGUCUUAAACAUUCGCCACAGUGAAGAAAAAUACUGUCACGGUUAUUAAUCACUACUCACAUGAAUAAACCAGAAUAUAUUAACAACUCGUAGAGCAGAGUUCUCAAAGACCAUAAAAUUAAUGUAACAAUCAACUUAACAAUGUACUUCUCUAUCCUGAUCACACAAAGCACAAGCCUAGAGCCUAGACAAACUCUGACUCCUACACAAAAGAAACUCGAUCUGGGAUCACUAGUCUCCUCCUUGGGAUCAAAUUAGAGCUUAGCAUCUCAUAACAGAAAGAACAACAUGCAUUCGACCUAUGAAAUUCACUAACAAUUUGAUAACAAACAAAGAACUAGCAAUAAGCAGUUUAGCUUUGAAAAGAAUGUGUUAUGAAACAAAACAGCAAUGCAACCUAAAAAAAAGUCACACACAAACGAAGAAAGAGAAUUCAGAUGAUCAAAGCAUUUCAAUGAUAACCACUGAGAGCUCCCUCUCCAACUCAAAACCUAACCUAAAAAGGUGAAUACCUACCUUUUGCUCAGUGUCAGCAGCGACUUGGAAAGCACCGUAGUUACCAGCAGCAGCUGCAGACGCUGCUUCAACAGGAGCAACCAUCUCAGGAGUAAUAGUGAAGUAAUUAGAACCCAUAAUCUUCUUCAACUUCUCUCUCAAUCCAGCAUCUGAAACACACAAAUCCCAUUAACUAAAAACCAAACCAAAACUGAAACAAACAAACUUUGGAUUUUUAUUACAUGAAACAUUGCAGUUGGAAGCAAUGGGCUGGUCCGAGCUAGCCAACCAAAGCUUAGCAUGCUCGACGCAACGCUCCAAAGCGUUCUUGUGAGACAAGAACGAAUCCGCAGGCCUGGAUACCAUCAUAGUCCACAGCUCGGAAAUCAAAUCCAGAUCCUUAUCACAUAGCAGAUCCGUGGACUCAUCCGUAACCGUAUCGUAAACCAAACAGCAACCUCUCUCGUGCGUCCUCGUCAGCAUAAUCGAAGCCAACUCGUUCUGCGACUUCACGUCGAAGAGCGAGCCAAAGUACAACAGAUUCACCAAAUCCUCCAACUUCUUCGCUUCUUCCUCCUCGGGAGCGUCAGCUACUUCGUUUUGAUCGGGGGGAGCUUGAUUGUGGUGGUGGAGGUGGUGAGUAGUGGCCAGGGUGAUUUCUUCGGAGACGGCGGCGGAGAGAGGAGCGCGGAGCUUGUCGAGCUCUUCGAUGAGGACGAGGACGGACGGUUUGGAGCGGAGGACUUCUUGUUGCUCCUUGUUUAGGGUUUUCCCCUGAGAGAUCGAUUCUUCCAUUUGAGUGAUUCGGUUGAGUUUCUUGCGGAGGGCGCGGAGACGUUUGUUGAUGAGUCCCAUCACUGGUCCUUCGCUGGCGUCUGAGGAAGCUGUCGCAGUCGCAGUCGCUGUAGCGGUAGGUGCCAUGGUGUUGGAUUUGUGUAGGAGAUCGGUUUGAUCGGCGGAGAAAGUGACCACCGUUGAACAGCGGCGGUGAAGAAAUGAGAGAGAAGAGGAAGAGGAAGAGGAUGAUUAGGGUUUUUCUGAGAGAUGUAAGUGACUGCUAUGUGUUCUUAAAUAUAUUGGAUAAUUGAUACUGAAAAAGAUAAAAUCAAUGAACCGAAAUUACUCCCUUAAUUUCUAAACUAUUUUUUCGCGGAUUAGAUUUUUAAAAAAUUAUUAUGUAUCAAUUUAGGUGGUUCUUGGAAAUAACAUACGAAAGUUUAACAAAAUUUAUUUCUUACAGAUGAAGAUACACUUUCUUUUCCUCUUAUUUUUCUUCUUUUCUCCAAAGAGAGUAUUUUAAUCAAGUAUAUGAGAAAAUAAGAUAUUUGUAUAGUGGAUAAUGCCAUUAGCAUUUUUGAAUGAUUGUUGUGGAAAUACUUGCUUCUCCGGCUUUUAGCUGAUUUUUUAGUACAAUAUGCAUACGGUCAUGCAUUCGAUUGUUUUUUAUUGUACAAUUUAAUUUUUCAGGGUAGUGAUGCUCGCAUUUGACUUCAUGGUUGAGCAUUUGUAUUUCUCUGGAGUCUUGUGUGUUGGGGGUUGUUGUAGGAAAUCAAUGGAAAUUCAGCCGACAUGAAUUAACAUUUCUGGUACAGCGUAACAUGAUGUUCUAACGUUUACACAUACUCCAAUUUUUCAAGAUACUCCUUUUCAUUUACCAGUAAGUACUAAGUAGUAACUAUGAUUUAUUGUACAUAGGAAAAACAAAACAAUACUCGUUCCUGUCGAAUGCAUGCUCCUACAAAUAACAAUCCAAAUGCUCGUUUACAAAAUGAAAUCGUUUAUUUACAACAAGAAAAACGAACAACUUGGUCUAUAUUCACCAAAAAGAAUGUAUAAGCAUUUUUUUCUAUUAUCAAAACUCUAUACUGCAUUUUUUCACAUAUCAACUCAUACUGUAGAGCAAGCAAUGCUCAUGGUGCGACGUCUUUUAUCUCCGUUACCAAGAGUCUCGUACCAUCUACCAAUCUUAUUGUCUUAUAGACCUUUUAUAAGGUUCAUAUCAUAAUGCUCCACCAAAACACUCACCACACGAGAAGACAAUCACUGGUCUAGAGGCUAGCACUGGAGGGUACCAAAAUGACAUGCAGUGUUCCAUUGUUAGGAGGAAGUUGCAAACGAAGGGGAAACAGCUUGCCGUUUAAUGGACUGCGAGUGCACACCACAGCGUCCUCCAUGCACGUUUCUUCUCGCAACGUCUGAGUCAGCUCCGCCACGCUGUUCCCUUUAAACGUGAAAGCAUAUCCAACGCUCGAUUCAUCCUCCACGUGUCCUUCAUCGUCAGCGAUGUGGUAGUAUAUCGUUCUCCCAUCCGAUUUCGGUGGAGACACAACCGACUGGUCAAAACCAAAGUUCAUGUCAGGAGGGUAAUUAUAAACAAAAUUUGAGGGUAUUUCAGUAAUUAGCAAUAGUAACUCACAUCUUGUUCGGAUCUCUCUGAAAGAGAAGACGGAGUCCUCGAUGGCCUCCUAUGCGGUGGUGGCUGCGUCUUCACCGGCGGAGGCUGCGUCUUCGGUGACGGAGUGAACUCAGUCUCCGCCGUGACUUGAGGAUUAACCAAGAUCUCAACAACAUCAACCUCCCACGAGAUGGAAUCCUGAGUAGCCGACAAAUGAGGAUUGUCGUGCGUCACCGAGUUUCUCCACGGCGGAAGACCACCGUUACCUCGUAGAUAGUUACCGUAUCUCGUCCUGAGCUUAAUCUUGGAUCCUUCUCUAACUGGUUCCCACUCAACAGACGAGUCGAGACGACUCGGUUUUAGCUGAAUCACUUUCUUCCCCGUAGCUCCAAGCAAGAACCGCUCGUUCGAAGCGGUUAGGUAUUUACCGUAACAGCUUUUGAGACGGAUUACGUGGUACGAAUCGCGAACCGGUUCGACGGUCCAUCGAGCGUUUUUGGUUGAUCCGUUUCGGUCUUGUGUCACUGUUUCCUCGUCGUCGUCUGCGGAUAGAUACUUGUUGUGGCUGUUACGCAUUCGAAUGGCUUUAGCUUUCUGGAAAAACUCCAUUGCUGAGACUGUUUCGUUUUGGUUUAAGCUACUCGUCUUCUCCUUUUGGUUGAAGCUACUCGCUUUCUGUUAAAAAAAAAAUGAGUGUGGGAAUAUGUAAGAAGUGGUGAAGAUGCGGUUUGUGUUUAUAUGUGCAUCUUUCUCUCUGUCCUUGGUCUGGUCUAACUUUUUGUAGUAACGCGGACAUUACACGGGACUAGUCAGAGACGCAUGAAAAUUGAAAAGUCAGAGUUUGCUGAUUGGAUUUACCGCGUUUUAAUUUCCACGUCAGCACAGUGUAAUAGCAUGUUUUUAUUCUGUUAAUGUGUCUUAAUUUCAAAGUAGUACAAAUGCAAUGUUACUACUACAUUUCUGGAUUGGCAUCCUGAAAAAGAGUUAAUGAUGAGAAUCCUACUAUCUAUAUUUUACUUUGUAUUCAAGACCAAAUCGGGACUUCGCAUUUCUUUUACUUUUCAAAACUACUCCAAGAGAAGUUUAAGGAGUAUAAAUUUUCUUUUAAUACAAAGUUGGAUUCAGGUUCUCCAAGAGAAGUUUAAACAGAAUACUGGGAGUCAGUGUAGAAUAUCAAAGGUUAAUCUUUUUUUGGAUCAAAUCAAAGGUUAAUCUAAAAAUCAUUGAUAAAGUGGUAAACUUUAACUAAAUUACAGUUGGAAUGGGACUAUUUGUAUUUUUUUAAUGAAAAGAUGAUAGAGAUAGGUAACCUAUUUUCCACAAAAAAACACCAUGUUAUUUUACCAUUUUCCAAGAGAUCAUCUUAAGUUUUCAUGUUAUCAGCAUUGGUGAAAUUUUGUAAGAGUUUUCAUGUUAUCAGCAUUGGUGAAAUUUUGUAAGAGUCUUCUUGUUAUAAUAAAUAAAUAAAUAAAACUGAAGAAAGAAAAACAUAGUCUUUCAAAUCAAUUUUUUUUGGCAAAAGUUACAUGUCAAUUGUUCCAUGUACUUGAAAUAUUAUUUUAGAAACUUAAUAUAACUUUUAUUGAUAAUGAUGCUUUUAGAAAUUUAGUCAUGUAGUUUUCGAUGGUACAUCAAAAACAAACAUAGCAACUGUUUUAUCAAGUUCCAUUAAUAGCUUAAGAUUUGAUACGAUGAUAUAUAUAUAUAUAUAUUUUUUUUUUCUGAAACACUGAUACAAUGAUAUAUACAUAUAUAUAAUAUUCCGUUUAAGUUUAGAACUUAGGAAUGUAAGGUAAAGGUGGUAUAGACAUUAAACCUAAAUGUGAAAUAAUGGAAAAAUAUAAUACAUAGUUUCUAACAAAAUAAAAUGCAUUUGUAUACCUUUCUCGCUCAAAAUGUAAUAUACUAAUAUUGUAUUGGGUUGUUGUUGUUUUUUUCUUUCUCUUUUUUGUUGUAAUAAGUUGCUUGCAUUGUAAACUUUUGAAAAAGAAAAUGGUACUAAAAUUUUAACAUUUUACCAAGAAAAAUGUAAUACUGUCUCUAUGCCAUAAAGAGAUUUGAAAAAGAGGAUUUAAAGGAAUGCUUAUAGAAUAAGUGUCUAGUCUCUUGCCCGCAAGAAAGACCAAGAAAAAAGGAAAUUCAUGAGUGUGGGACUCUCCUAACUGCUUCCUUCCUUGGACCAUAUGGUCCCACAGUCCAUGCCAUUACAAAUAAAUCAUAACUAAACCAACUUUUUCACCAUACUUUGUUUCCACGUGUCUUGUGUUAGCUGAGAUUAGAUUUAUUUAUAUGAAGCCAUUAGGUGUAAGUUUUAAAUGUUGGCCUAAAAGAUUAGGUAUAAAAAAAUUCUUAAUCAUCCUAUAUAGGUACGUAUAAUUGUUUUAAGAACUUUUACUGUCACUUACAUGUUACUAACUUUAGCUGGAUUUCAAAUGUCAUAUUUUCAACUGUUGUAGUUUCUAUAGUGAAUUAUAAAAUAAGAAGUUGUUCUAAGUAAACUACACAUUUAAUUAAUAUAAGAUAUAAUAAAAAAUAUGAAAUUUCUGAGUGCUAUUAGGUUGGUGGAACGAUGUAUGUGCUUGUGGAGCACUCACUAUAUAUGUUAGUGGAGAAAAGAAUCAUAUAUAGUUUCCAAGUUUCUAUAACACUAAAUAUUAGUAUGGUAAUUUAUCCUCCAUUUUUCUAUCUAAUGCAUGCCAACCAAAAUUGGGCUGAGUCCAGCUAACUAUAAUAACUUUCUAUGGUACACUUAAUUAAGAAACAACUAUUCAAUGCACAAUGUAAAUGAAAAUUGAUAAGUAAAGACUUAGUCAAACUUACCGGUUUUGAGGACCAUCUCGGAGACAUUGAACUCAAACCAAGAGAAGCGAACCGAUCAAUACUCUUCAUUGACCUGGCGGAAACGGGCGACGCAGGCUCUGACCCGAGAUCCGACCCGGAGAUAUGUGAAGAAACCGGAGAAGAAACAGAGCUCUCAUCUCCAGCAGACAUGUUUUCAAGAUCAGAACCAUCAACUGUAAUAACAUCCCAAACCAACCAGUUCUUGGUCUUCGAUGUAUGAGGCUCGUCGUGAGUAACGGAGUUUCUCCACGGCGGUGUUCCUCCGUUAGCCCUCAUCCAUUUACCGCACCAAGACUUCAGCUUCACCGAGAAACCAUCUCGCACCGGUUCCCACUGCGUUUGCCAAUCCAUAGGCUUGUUAGACGAGUGCGUUUGAGUCACUUUCUCACCGGUCAUACCUAACAGCAACGGUUUAUUGCUCGCCGUUAAGUAGGUGCCGUGACUGCUUUUUAACCUUAUCAGAUUCGGUUUAGCCUCAACAGUCUCUACCGUCCAUACGGCUCGCCGUGCAUCUCCUUUACGACUUUGACGGAUGGUUUCUUGAUCGUCGUCGGCGACUAGAAACUUAUCCAGGUGGCUCCUUAACUUAACGGCUUCUCCUUUGGUGAAUAGCUCCAUUUCUUUGAUGUUUGAAGAAGAGGCAAAAGAUCAAACUAGCAGAAAAUAAACUUUUGUGAUGAAAGGAUGUCUGAAUUAUGAAUGGACUGCUUUUAUGGUUAUAUAGAUAAAUGAUUUUAAAUGGGACAUAGAGUCCUUGCUAAAAGGGAACUAUUGUAAGUUAAUAUUCGGAGUAUUAUUCGGCUUGAAAUUAUAUAGAAAUUUCCCAAAUCAAAUGACGAAAUGACUAUUAAUAAAAUAUUAAACAGUAUAGAAAUGUAAUAUUUAAUUUGCAGAAGGUUCCACUUUGCGUAACUAAAUGUAUUUGUACAUGUCGACAAAAAAAAUGUAUUUGUACAUUUGGCCUCACGCGCGUGAAUUGCGUGAUGUGAAUAUUUCACAAGAAAAUGUCUCACGUUACGGUUUUCAAUGUUUGUUUUCAUUCCAUCUAGACCGGUAUACACUUCAAGUCAUCAUAUACUACGAUGCAACCAAAUGUUUGUGUUUCCAUUAUGUCUUCAUUUGUUUGGUUUGCACUACUGGCAUGUUGAUGAAAGAUCAGUGUAGUUAAACUAUCUUAAACGUAGCUCUUGGCCUUCUUUUUAUUUUCCAAAGUGCUUAUAAACUUCAUAAUCAGAUUAAAAGUAUAUAUUAAUAGAGAGAAUCGAUAAUUAUAACGUUCAUAAUAUAUGUUGUGAAUAGAAUGUUCAUAUUAUAUAUUUUGAACCAAUAAAGAAAAAAAAUGGAAACAAUGGAAAAUGAGAGAAGAUGAGGAGAGGUAACUGUAGUGCGCGUGGGCGUAUGUUGUAUUUAUUUUCCACGAACCAAACAAAGUCAAUAGAAGACUUAUUAUGAAUAUUUAAGAUUCGUACAUGUCUAAACACAGUUGAAUACAUAGAUACAAACAUUACCGUAUAAUACGUGUGUAUCAUAUCUUUUCUUGGAAAAGUAUAAUUAAUGUUAGACUUGGAUUCUUUUGGGUUCUUUUUGUCAACAUGCUCUAGUUGAGCUUUUCUUAAUCCUAAUCGUUGGCUUUUGUUGCCACGUCAGGCUGUGGAAGAAACGGUCUUAGUUUGUUCUCCCAACACCAAAUAUAUGGCUCUCUUAAAAUUCAUGACACUUCAAAUUCGUAGGGCGAUGAUGCAUCAUGAAUCAUGCUGGAAAGAAGAUGAUAGAAGCUCUUCAAUUUCCUUUGCAAUUUGUAAGCAAUACUUAGACCAAGUCGAUUUAAUCUUAAACAUCGAUAAUGUGAACUUCCAAGAAUGUCUAUUAUUCUUGGUCAAACGGCAAAUUUACAUAGAAUGAUAACGGUCAACUUUUACAUUGACCAUAAUGAUUCAAACUAUAUUAAACAACACGCAAAAACAUGUCUAGAAGAUAACAAGGCUUUUCGGUGCAAUCAAACAAACUUGAAAUAUGAAGAUUCCAAUGCUUUUGGUUUUUCACAUGCGGUAUAAGCGUCUGGCCUUGCGUUCUGUGGCGUAACUCUUCUCCUACCACAAUUGUGAACAUUAAUCUCUCCACGUAAAGGUAGAUGUGUCCUGAAUCAACAAAAUUUGGUCAUAUAUAUCAUAUCUGACUUAAAGAACACCAGUAAACGCCACAAGAGUUGGCUAAAAAAAAACUGAAUAAGAGUGUUUUUGGGAGUGUACCAGUGGAUGAUUGGCCGGUGAGUAACAACAAUUUGUACCAGAUUUCAUUAAAAACAUCAAUCGUAAAUACGAUGCUCCAGUAACCUAUUUGAUCACAAAAGAGAGUAUAAUUUCUUCUGUUUUCUUCAAUAGAUAUUGAUUUGAAUUGACAUAUUACCUUGUAGUCAGCAGCGUCAAAGUCUGGACCGAGCAGUUCUAGAGCUUUUUUUGUAGUUGCCACUGGAUCGUGGUGGUGAGUAGUGGCGAGGGUGAUUUCUUCGGAGACGGCGGCGGAGAGAGGAGCGCGGAGCUUGUCGAGCUCUUCGAUGAGGACGAGGACGGACGGUUUGGAGCGGAGGACUUCUUGUUGCUCCUUGUUUAGGGUUUUCCCCUGAGAGAUCGAUUCUUCCAUUUGAGUGAUUCGGUUGAGUUUCUUGCGGAGGGCGCGGAGACGCUUGUUGAUGAGUCCCAUCACUGGUCCUUCGCUGGCGUCUGAGGAAGAUGUCGCUGUCGCUGUCGCAGUAGCGGUAGGUGCCAUGGUGUUGGAUUUGUGUAGGAGAUCGAUUUAAUCGGCGGAGAAAGUGACCACCGUUGAACAGCGGCGGUGAAGAAAUGAGAGAGAAGAGGAAGAGGAAGAGGAUGAUUAGGGUUUUUCUGAGAGAUGUAAGUGACUGCUAUGUGUUCUUAAAUAUAUUGGAUAAUUGAUACUGAAAAAGAUAAAAUCAAUGAACCGAAAUUACUCCCUUAAUUUCUAAACUAUUUUUUCGCGGAUUAGAUUUUUAAAAAAUUAUUAUGUAUCAAUUUAGGUGGUUCUUGGAAAUAACAUACGAAAGUUUAACAAAAUUUAUUUCUUACAGAUGAAGAUACACUUUCUUUUCCUCUUAUUUUUCUUCUUUUCUCCAAAGAGAGUAUUUUAAUCAAGUAUAUGAGAAAAUAAGAUAUUUGUAUAGUGGAUAAUGCCAUUAGCAUUUUUGAAUGAUUGUUGUGGAAAUACUUGCUUCUCCGGCUUUUAGCUGAUUUUUUAGUACAAUAUGCAUACGGUCAUGCAUUCGAUUGUUUUUUAUUGUACAAUUUAAUUUUUCAGGGUAGUGAUGCUCGCAUUUGACUUCAUGGUUGAGCAUUUGUAUUUCUCUGGAGUCUUGUGUGUUGGGGGUUGUUGUAGGAAAUCAAUGGAAAUUCAGCCGACAUGAAUUAACAUUUCUGGUACAGCGUAACAUGAUGUUCUAACGUUUACACAUACUCCAAUUUUUCAAGAUACUCCUUUUCAUUUACCAGUAAGUACUAAGUAGUAACUAUGAUUUAUUGUACAUAGGAAAAACAAAACAAUACUCGUUCCUGUCGAAUGCAUGCUCCUACAAAUAACAAUCCAAAUGCUCGUUUACAAAAUGAAAUCGUUUAUUUACAACAAGAAAAACGAACAACUUGGUCUAUAUUCACCAAAAAGAAUGUAUAAGCAUUUUUUUCUAUUAUCAAAACUCUAUACUGCAUUUUUUCACAUAUCAACUCAUACUGUAGAGCAAGCAAUGCUCAUGGUGCGACGUCUUUUAUCUCCGUUACCAAGAGUCUCGUACCAUCUACCAAUCUUAUUGUCUUAUAGACCUUUUAUAAGGUUCAUAUCAUAAUGCUCCACCAAAACACUCACCACACGAGAAGACAAUCACUGGUCUAGAGGCUAGCACUGGAGGGUACCAAAAUGACAUGCAGUGUUCCAUUGUUAGGAGGAAGUUGCAAACGAAGGGGAAACAGCUUGCCGUUUAAUGGACUGCGAGUGCACACCACAGCGUCCUCCAUGCACGUUUCUUCUCGCAACGUCUGAGUCAGCUCCGCCACGCUGUUCCCUUUAAACGUGAAAGCAUAUCCAACGCUCGAUUCAUCCUCCACGUGUCCUUCAUCGUCAGCGAUGUGGUAGUAUAUCGUUCUCCCAUCCGAUUUCGGUGGAGACACAACCGACUGGUCAAAACCAAAGUUCAUGUCAGGAGGGUAAUUAUAAACAAAAUUUGAGGGUAUUUCAGUAAUUAGCAAUAGUAACUCACAUCUUGUUCGGAUCUCUCUGAAAGAGAAGACGGAGUCCUCGAUGGCCUCCUAUGCGGUGGUGGCUGCGUCUUCACCGGCGGAGGCUGCGUCUUCGGUGACGGAGUGAACUCAGUCUCCGCCGUGACUUGAGGAUUAACCAAGAUCUCAACAACAUCAACCUCCCACGAGAUGGAAUCCUGAGUAGCCGACAAAUGAGGAAUGUCGUGCGUCACCGAGUUUCUCCACGGCGGAAGACCACCGUUACCUCGUAGAUAGUUACCGUAUCUCGUCCUGAGCUUAAUCUUGGAUCCUUCUCUAACUGGUUCCCACUCAACAGACGAGUCGAGACGACUCGGUUUUAGCUGAAUCACUUUCUUCCCCGUAGCUCCAAGCAAGAACCGCUCGUUCGAAGCGGUUAGGUAUUUACCGUAACAGCUUUUGAGACGGAUUACGUGGUACGAAUCGCGAACCGGUUCGACGGUCCAUCGAGCGUUUUUGGUUGAUCCGUUUCGGUCUUGUGUCACUGUUUCCUCGUCGUCGUCUGCGGAUAGAUACUUGUUGUGGCUGUU
rnacentral:lncRNA from 1 species